UCUGACAGUACAUUGUCUUAAUGAUGGAAUUCCUAGCCCACGGGACUGCUCCACCUGGAAGAAUAAUUAUAAGGAAGCUGUUCAUCUCUGCCUCUCAACACCACCAAGCCUUAAGGUAAGUUCCUGUCAAACAACGUCAUCGGUUGCUCUUGCCUCUUUCUCUUCUCCUCCUCUUCUUCAUUUUCUCCCCCAUAAGAAUUACAUGAUUAGAAGCCAGCAAGGUCAAGUGAGGUCAAGGGUCCAACUAGGAAGUUGUGUGUUCACAGGGCAGGUCCCAGGACGGCAGUGGAAAGCCCCUGACGUGGUCAUUUAGUGAGGCAAAGAUAUCUGGCUCAGACUUACACAGGGCGCAGGAUGCAGCUUUUACAAGCCAACUUGAAAGGACAGCAGUGACGUUGUGAUGUUUCCUUACCUGGAGUAUUGCUUGACUUUUUACCUGCCCUGUGGAUGGGAAGCUUCAGUCUCUGGAGACAAGGAGGGGAAAUCCCCAUGAUGUGUUUUAAUUAGCCCAGUUCCCUCAUUGUCUAUAAAGAUAUGAACAUUGUGUGUCUGUGUGUGUGUAUGUAACUCUGUCUUUAUAUCUAUCUGCAUUCCAUAAAAGGAACAAGGCAUAAGAUGAGAUUAUUAUAAAACAGCAUGUUGGUUCCAUUUCCAAUUGAUGCUUUAAUGUGUUUUUCAUUACUAUCUGAACCCUUCUCAGAGAAAAUCCUUCCAAUAUUAAGUUGCGGGUCUAAUUUUUAGCCUGAUGAGGGGUAGUUUAAGUGUGUAGUGUGUUCAGGAUCCAGGACGUGCUAGUGUGUAUGCUGUGAUCACCUUCCUCUCUGACUUCCAUUCAAAUGACUCAACAUUCUAACUGUCCUUGUAGAAAUCAGGUCAAAUAGUCAUCACAUUAAGAAUCUGGCAAAGGUUUGUAUUCUUUGCUUUUGGGAUUUCACAAGCAUUUUGGAAUGGUGGGGAAGAAGAGUCUUGAACCAGACAGGAGGCCAGCAUUAGCCCAGUUAACAAGUAUGGCACUUACUAUGUAGGGUCACUUGCCUGUAACUAUUAUAGCUACGAGGUGAGCUAGCCGACUCUGUGACUUACAUUUUAUAGAUAAGAUUACCAAAGCAUCUGACUACCGGUUGCAUGUUUAGGAAGUGGUGGACCUGGUGGACCUUCUAGCCACAAAGCUGACCAGGGUUUGCUUUUCAGUGUUCUCUGGUACCCUUUACACAAAUUCCCCCUUCUCUGUUAGCUUUGGUUUCUUGAUUUAACCAGGGAACUCAGUGCUAACUAUUCUAAAGUGUCAAUAUAAAGAUGUAAUAAUCCUUGUAUUACCAUAAACAUAGAGGGCAUAUUUAAUAAUUUAUUCACUUACCAUUCUUUACAAUGCCAUCCAAAUAGAGAAAUUGGCAUCUAAGACAACUGGAAUUUGGUGUUGUGGCCCUUGUUGCUGGCCACACAUUAGAUUGUGCUGAAGAACUUCCCCAAAGUGCUAAUUCUGACGUGGAAUAGGGCACAUUCAGGGUGCUGGUGGUGUUCUAUUAAUGUCCCUGGUGACCCUAGGUGUGUGGUAGUUGUGAUGAUUUUUUGAGCUGCACAUGGAUACUAGCUUUGUUCUUCUGGAUGCAUCUUGUUCAAAUGACAUGUACAUCAAAGAAUGUCAAUUACUGGCUUCACCCCUCAGAGCAUUUGAACCAGCAGCUCUGAGUAGGACCUCAACACCCUUUUCACUCAAGUGCCUUUCAGAUGCUGUUAAUAUGCAGCCAGCUUUGACAAGUCUUCGAGUGAAUUCAACAUCGGCACGUGAGCCAGCUAAGGGAGCCAGGGUUUACAGAAGCAUCUGCCAGAUUCAGACAUCUGAGGAGGUGUCCAGCAAUAGGUAUGAGGCUCAGGUGAAUGUCCUCGUUUCAUCUAAGAAUCACCUCAAAAAUACGAAGUAGAAUACACCUUUAGAUCUAUUAAUUUCAUCAACAAGCACUUAAUUUUGCUAUCCUUCCUUCUUUAAUAACCACUUCUAUAAAUAUCUAUUUUAAUUAACCAUCCUGUUUUGUGAACAUCAUUAUCCAGUAAAACCUAAGUAGUUUGAAAAGAAAAGGGAAUAAAUUUGUGAGUUAGGAUGUCUACCCUCUUCCCAAGGGCCCACAAUUGCAAGUUUAGUCAAACAAAUGCAAUAAACGUCUGCGUUGUUUCCUCCCCCAACAGAAAUAAUCAUCUUAUUUGUCUCUUACUAUUGGGAUGCUGGUUUGGGGGACAAUGCUAUUAUAAUUUGCAUCUCUCUCUCUUUAUGCUAAUACACAUAUUCAUGUUCUAUGUAAGUUACCUUAGAAAAAUGUUUUAUAAAAAUAAAAACUGCCAGCAUGCUGGCUCACACCUGCAAUCUCAGCAAUAUAGGAGGCUGAGGUACGAGAAUCACAAGUUUGAGACCAGCCACAGCAAUUUAGUGAAGCCCCAAGCAACUUAGCAAGAUCCUGUCUUGAAAAAAAAAAUACAAACAGACUUACUCUAAAACAUUACAACUUAAAAUUAAUUUUAAAAUAAAGUAUAUGGCAAUUCCUUUGUAAUAUUUUGUCACUGACUUUCUAGAGAUUUUUUUUAAUCAAUCUACUUAUUUUGAUUUUUUUAGUUGGUAAAAAGACUUCUACAAGAUGAAAUUUCAGGUAUUUAUUACAUAUAUUUAAUGAAUAUCUUGUCUGUUUCAUAGACAAGAAUGUCCGUCUUCUUUUAUUUGAAUUCCUUCUCUUCAUUUAAGUUUUUGUUCACCCAGGGUCCUAACUAAUGAGAAACAAGAGCAUUUGCACAUCUUCUUAGCCAGAAGGAAACGUGUAGUAUUGAAGAAGCAGCGAUGUUUGAUGAUCAUGUUUAAACUGAGUUAUCAGAAGGGCAAACUUGGUCAUGGCCAUAUUUUUUCAAAAGCAUAAAUAUCAGGUUUGGGGUAUGGUCCAAGAAGGCAUAUGUCUACCGGUUAUAUUGGUUGAUGAGAUAAAAUUUAAAAAGGAACAAGGAAAGAAAAUACUAGUCUUAUGCUCAAUCUGUCCACCAGUAAUAUUGACAUCAUCUCCAUCUAGUCUCCAAUCAGACGAGCUUUAGACUUCAAUAGAUUUAAUAUACUGGCAAAGCUUCUGGGUAAAAGGUAAAAGAAGCUGCAAAUAUUGAAAUAUAAAGACUAUUCAGUAUUAUGCCAAUAGCAGUGUGAACGGUUGGGAGUACAAACAGAUACACUGAAGCUAUCCUACUAAUGUAAGAUUUAUGCUGCCGAUAACCAUUGCAAUUAAGUAUAAUAUGCUAACACCAUGGGAUUACACAUUUCAGUUGAUAAGGGGGAAAAAGGCAUUAGUUUUGGAUAGUUCUUACAUAUAAUAAUAGCUGGUAUAGUAGAAAGAAAAAUGAAAAAAAAAAAAUCCUUUCCCUGGAUUAGCAGAGAAAGCUACUGUCCGUGAGAGCCGUUAUGAUUUUUAUGCAUGUCUCUGGUUUGGCUUCAUUCACAGAUGGCACAGAUAUUACUUAAAUAAGACUUCAAGAGAGAACACAGGUUUUUGAAAAUGGGGAUUGGUCUCCGAUGCUGUGGUUGCUGGGUAAUGGAUUAACAACUGUCGCUGUAAAAUCCAUUCAUUUCUUCUUAUCGCCCAGGGAACAGGCAUCGGAUCACUCUCUGUAGUUUAGACUUUCACAGAAAGGUGGACACAUUACAGUGGAGCGCCAGGUUUUAUUUCUAUGUGAUAAUAUUCUCAUCGUGAUGUUUGACCUCCGCUAUCAAAUGCCUUUGUUAUCUUAAUCAGUUGUCAUUGGCACACUCACGUGAUUUUAUUGCUGUUUUGUUUUUACACAAUAUUGGUAAUUUGAACCGGUACCAAAAUGAUCAAAGAUUGGCAAUUUCACAAUUUCAUAUGGCUCAAUCUAGUGUUAAUUUCCUUAUGGACGAGAGAAAGAGCAGGGAGGAUUUUACAGCAAAUAGCAAAGAUAAAGGGGAGGGGGUGCACGCAUGCACAUGUGCACGUGCAGUUGCUGGGUGCCAUCCUAUGCACCACGAAGGCAGAGAAGAAGCAGGUUCAGCCCUGGCUUUUGUGAAGGUGAUAUGUCCACAGAGAGAAUGGCUAUCAGACAAAGUAGUGUGCAAGAGAAUUCCAGAUAGGUGCUCUGCAAAACAAGUUAUUCAGGGAAGGGGACUCAUCAGAGACUUGGAUUGUAAGUGGAGAUUCCAGGGACAGCAAUUUUAGAGAAAGUAGCCAGGGAAGGUCCAAAAUCCCAUUAAGCAUUGUAGAGCUCAUCACAGAAACAUUUUAUAAACAAAGUCUAAGUGAACAGUAUCAUAGGUACUUACCUGUCAUGAUGGUCUUUGUGUGCAUUCCUAAGCCAUCAGAGGAAUGGCUACACUUCUCAGACUACUCUGGAUAGUUUUGCAUUGACAUCUGAUAAAAAAAAAAAAAUCCUGGUCCUUAAAAUUUCCAAUUGUCAUCUCAUUUAUGUCAGGAAUAGUGAAGAUAUUAGAAAUAAGAACAAUACUUAUAUGACCUUUUAAAGGUUAACAACUUAAAAACUAUAUUAUACUUCAUUCAUACAUGCAAUUAUAAACAGUUAACAAUCCCUAAUAAAUUAAUCAUACUGCAUAUAUGUAACAGAUAUGGAAUAUUUUGAUUCUUGGAUAGAGAGCAAAUUCACAUUUCCGUCUUUAGUCUCCUUUAUUUUACAGGCUCCGAUGGCCCUUGUUAGUGGGUACAAAAUGGGAACCAAUUCAGUUAAGAGCAGAGCACCAAUUCACUUAGGCCAGGGCAAUUAUUGUCCCAAUUCCUUCAUAUCCAGUUCAGACUCUAAUUGCAGCUACUUUUUUAAAUGAUUAUUUUCUAUAUACCAGCAUGUGCUCAAUACUUUAAUGCAUUAUAUUUUUAUUAUUUCCCAAAAAUUUGUAAUACUCUCAUAUAUGUUUUACAUAGGAAUAAUAGGCUUAGUGAAGAAAAAUAACUUUCUAAAGCUCACGCAUGAAUUGUGUAAAGAAACCAUGCUUAGAAUCCCAGCAUUCUUGAGGACAUGUUCUUAACCACUAAGCAACAAUUACCUACUCAGUAAGAAAUGCUCACAUGGGAGCAAGAACACUUCAAAUGAGAUGACAGAAGGAAAGCACUCUUAUAGCCGGAAGGGCCUUCAGCAACCACUGCCAUUUCUGACCUACAUUUGGGAAUUCCAUUCCCAGAUACUAUGUGGUCAGAGAGCAUGUGGAAGACCAAGACCUGCAGCUGCAUUUGUGUUUAUCUUCAAGCUAAGUUAGCCCGGAUAUCUCAGAAACAGUACGUGCCUACAUACUCCUGGAGCUCCUGCGCAAACCUGUACAAUCCAUAGUUUUGGCUCUCUCCGGUUAUACGACUCUGAGCAUCAUCACUUUUGGAGGAACAACCAGCCUCAUAAGGGAUUCCAGAUGUUAUUUCUGCCACUUUUGAACCCCAGUGGGUAGGAAAAAAUGUCAGAACACGGAGCAGACUCCCUUGUGGGACUUCCCCACCCAUCGUUUAAAUCCAACGCAAUAUAGCCAAGUCAUUCUUACUGACUCAUAAGAUGAACAUGUUUCAAGGGGCAAAGCUUUCCAAUGCAAUUUUCAAAUAAUAGUCUUAAACAGGUAUGCAGGGGAAAGAGCUCUGGAGAAGGAGCAUGCUGAACUGAUGUCUGUUGAAUACUCACUCUGGACAGACAGCUACAGCACCAUGAUCAGGGCCGUGGGAGUUUAGGGUGAGUCUGUGCAUUCCUUUGUGAGUAUAAUUACCUCUCAUCACCUGGUUUCCACUCAGUGUCUUUCCCAUUUCUGUCAAUGUUGCCUACACUGAGUCAUAUUCAUGCUAGCUGUAGCUAUUCUUUGAUUUUAAAAUUAUUUUGUAAAAGCAUAGAGUACUAUAUGCAUAUACGACACAUUUUUAUUUAUACUAAUUUUUUAAAUUUGAUGCAGGUUAGAAAAUAUGCAAUGUCCAAAAGCUUGUGAAGAAGUUACUCUUUUUGCAAUGGACAGUCGGGUCAUUUUUGUUCCCUGGCAGAGGAGAAUCUUUGUUAUUAAACACAUCAAAGCUUUGCUUUUAGGAAGGUUGAUCUUCUUCAUCCUUCCCUCUCUGAGUCAGAAUUUCAAAUUUUUUUUCAUGGAAAUGAUUGUUGAAAAGUCAUAAAGAGAAAAUGUGCUCCUCUGUCUCCAUCUCUCUCUUCGUUAAGCUUCAGAAAAACGAGUCUUGGCAGAAGAUGAAAUAUAUUAUUGUUAUUAAAUACAUUGCUUUGUGAUUCAUAGAUAAGCAUUUGUAUUGUCAAAUAUUUGUAGAAUUCACACGAUAAGACCAAUUUUCCUACUAAGUUUUUUAAAUUUUUCCUUCUCUUUUUUCCUUCCUGAAUUCCAAGAGGAGGCUUGAUAUUAAAUCUCCACAUCGGAGAGAAACUAUGCUGAUGUCUCCCUUCUUCCUUGGGUUCUGUUCAGUGGCUCGACUACAAACACAAGGUCUGCAGAGAGUGUGAGAGGAGUGAGUUCCUCCGGGUGCUUCCUCUGGGCCCCACUGAGCUGUGAAACCAGGCUUCCACCUCAGUUACUGGGACUGUCACAUCUGGAAAGGACAAUGUCGGGAAGCAGGCACAGUCCCCCCCCCCCACUUGCUGGUGAUGGGCAUGUCAUAGGAAUGUGCACACAUAGCUUUUAUUUUAAGGAGGGAGAGUUUCAAGACAGGAGUCUCUCUCUCUGAAUCACUCUUCAAAGAUAUAUUUGAUAAUCUUUCUGGGAAAACAUAGAAUAGCAUUUCAAAUUUUCAAAAAGCCUUCUCCAUUUAGAUAAUCUUGCAUUUGCUAUCAUUCCUUAAAAUUAUCAUAUACAUUCACAUAUACACUGAUUCCCAAGUAUUUAAACAGCUAUUUUUCUUCAAACCUGCCUCACCCAUGGGUCCUGUCACCAAUAGUGCCUGAAGGCUGAUGUUCACCUUGCUCUUCCCCCACAUGGAGCACUUCGUCUUACACAUUUCCAUUAUCCUUACAAAGGGAUAUGAAUUAUUUGUGCAGAGUGCAGAUGGCUUAAGCCAUCAUUUCCCAAAAUGCAUUCCAACAAAGCAUACUUGCAUGGGAAUUCCAUGGGUGUUUUAAAAAUUGGGAUUCUACAGCCCAUAUGCCUAUUAAUAGAUGAGUGGAUUUAGACAAUGUGGUACAUAUGCACAAUGGAGUUUUACUUAUCCUCAAAGAAGAAUGAAAUCAUUGUAUUUGCUAGUAAAUGGCUGAAACUGGAGAAGAAUAUGCUAAGUGAAAUAAGGCAGACCCAGAAAACCAAGGGUGAAACGUUAUUUCUCACAUGUGAAAGCUAAUGCAAAAUAAAGGAAAGAAGGUGGGGAUUGGAUAUCAUGAAACUAUAGGGGAGAUCAGUGGAGUAAAGAAGGAGUGGGAGAAGGAGGGAGGGGAGACAGCAUAGAGGAGGGAAACCAAAUGCAUUUAGCUUCAUCACAUUAUGUGCACACAUACAUACACCACAGGGAAUUUGAACUUUAUGUAUAUGUAGAAAGCACCAAUCAAAAAUAAAUAAAUAAGUGAGUGGAAGGCGGAUCAGAGCAGAGGAAGGAAGACGGCGGAGGUACAGGAAGAGAAGGGGGGACUGAAAUGGAGUUAGUCACAUUCCAUGCAUUGUCAAAAUGAGCCCGAUUAUUAUGGAUAACUACAAUGCUCUGAUAAAAUAAAUGAAUGAUAAAAAUAAAAUUUAAAAAGUCUCUUUCAAAUGUGUAUAGAAAUACUCCAGGUUGAACAAAAUUUAAAUAUAGAAAAAAACUAAAAUUGGACACUUUUCUUGAUGUUCUCAGAGCCUUUCAUGAGCUUGAGAAAUUACAAGACUCUCAAAAGGAAAUCUCAGAAACAUUCUCUUUUUUCCUUCCUCCAGAAAACCUCUGGCAGGGCAGUGGGCUUCCCUCAGCCGGAAGUGGGCUUUCCAGCUCAGCUGAACAUUCCGGAACUGACUUUCAGUCUUGGCUCGGGUGGGGCCAAGGGUCAGAGAGUCACCUUCCACGUGGUGGCAUUGGUGCACUGUUUGCUGUUUCAUGUGUUUUCCCAGCUUUCAGAGACUAUUCCACAAUACUUCAGCUGUCCCUCAUCACCCCAGCGACCUGUUGAAAUGAGAUUAGCAACAUUUAUUGCACGAUCUGUGAACGCUCACACACACUGCAUGAGGUCUUGGCAUAAAUGGUUCAGGUUAAGGAUAAGUUGUCACUUCUUGAUUUGGGACAGAUUCUCAGUCAUUUUGAGGGUCUUCUUUGGGAUGCCAUAGCAUCUGUGACAGUAAGGGAAAGGUACCUAACAGAGAUGCCUGUAAACCUUGGUAAUGUCACCUGACCCAGGCAGCAGAAACAGAGAGGCAUGGUGCAUGGUUGUUGGUAUCCAGCCACUAAUCACCAAAAAGCCAAAUGGCAUGAUAAUUACUCUGCAACAGAAACCAUCAGAUUUCUUUUUAAUUUUUUAAAUUUUUUAAAAAUUUGGUCAUUCAAAUGUUUAUUUUGCUAAAGCCUGCUUAACUCAUUUCUUCAUUGGAAUUUUUCCUGACCACAUUUGCUGAAUUCACAGGGUGUUUUAUUAUUAGACAAAGAGCUCAGCACAGAGCAGGUGGUGCUUGCACUAGCCAAGGACCUUGAGCCUAUUAGCUUAUUAUAACUGCUAGUCUGUCCCAGGACCAAGGUGAAGCAUGGGAUCUCUGGUAGAAAAUGACAGAGAGCAUGAGAAACUCAAAUACAGACAGUUGAGGGGCAAUAACGAUUUCACUGAGCUCAGCUGAAAGCUAGUUGAUAUUAGUAAAAAUGCCCCCCUUAAAUAAAGUGCUAACAUUUUAAGGGGCUGUCAGAACCCAGAAUGGGGUGGAUCAAGGUUCUUCAUUGAUGAGAGGUUAUUUCUGGUUCCGUGCAUGGUGCUCUUUGUUGCUUGACUCUGUUAACAAUAUGUUACAGACAUGUGAUUCCACCCGUCUACAUUAAAACUGAAACACCCCAAACCAUUCAAUGCUCUACCUACGGGGUCUUCAUUCAUCUAUCCUACUGUCUCCGUCCACCCAAGUUUGUUAACUAUGUAUGCAAACGCUGGUUUGGUGGGACAAGUACAGUUUUAAUACCAUAUGUUUAUGGAGAACACGUUUCCUCCUCUUUUCAAGAAAUAUCUUCUCGUGUCUUUGUACAACCAUGUAAGGAGUUUAUUUUCAAGUCCUAUCAAUUAAUUAUCACUCGUGAUCCCUAGGGUCAGUAGUGUCCGCUGGGAAUCCGCCCACCUGACAUCUGGAAAGAACUGCACAGUUAGCAGACCACCUUCGUAAAGAACCCACUUUCAUUGUUUUCCAUCUGUUCUGGAAGGUGACCAUGAAUAAUGCAGGAGGGACUGGGCGUGUCCACACUGGAAUCUUGCUGGUGCUCCUAGGUGUUUUCCUUCACCAGAAUCCGGAGAUGUUGCUGCACCACACUGAACUCAGCUGGCCUAAUACUUGGCCUGUAAGAACUUACAAGAUGAGCUGGGCGUGGUGCCACAGGCCUGUAAUCCCAGCAGCUCUUGGGAGGCCAAGGCAGAAGGAUCAUGAGUUCAAGGCCAGUCUCUACCUCUAAAUAAAUAAACAAGUAGAUGGAUAGAUAGCCAAGUACUGGGUGUGUGGCUCAGUGCUUAAGCACCCCUGGGCUCAAUCCUUGGUAAAAGGAGGAGGAGGAGGAGGAGGAGGAGAAGGAGAAGGAGAAGGGGGUGGGGGAGCCAGGGAGUUGGAGGGAAGGAGGAGGAGGGAGGAAGGAAGAAGCAGGAGGAGGAGGAAGGAGAAAGAAGAAGAGGAGGAGGAGGAGGAGGAAGGAGAAGGAGAAGGAAGAGGAGAAGGAGAAGGAGGAGGGGAGAGCCAGGGAGUUGGAGGGAAGGAGGAGGAGGGAGGAAGGAAGAAGCAGGAGGAGGAGGAAGAAGAAAGGAGAAGGAAGAAGAAGAGGAGGAGGAGGAAGAGGAGGAGGAGGAGGAGGAGGAAGAGGAGGAGGAGGAGGAGGAGGAAGAGGAAGAGGAAGAGGAGGAGGAGGAGGAGGAGGAAGAGGAGGAGGAGGAAGAGGAGGAGGAAGAGGAGGAAGCCAGAGAAGAGCUUUUGUUUCUGCCUUGUGUUCAGAUGACCCUCUAAGUAGACGAUGGGACGUCUAUUUUGACUUGUGUCUGUCCAGACUUGAAGAACCAUGUGCUAAAUCAAAGCUGCUCCUGGCCUUCGUUGCUCUUCUGUUUUGAAACCAUUGUGUAAUUCUGGAGAGACUUGUACAGGAGCCCAAAAUCUGCUGGCAGGGGGCUGCUGUCUUCAAAAUGAAAACAAAUGCUCUUCCCUGCUUCCCCUGCAGCUGUCUUUCUGGGACUGUGUUGUUCUACCUCCUUGAUUACAGGCUUUAAAAAAGAUCCGGGGAAGAGCCUAGCUGGGGAGGAUCCUGGAGGGAUGCGAUUUCUUGAAUUCAGACAGUUUAUCAGCUCCCUUUGUAUGCAUUACUGGGUACUGAGGUAUUUUGCAGGUCCUAUAAAACCACAAGCAUUUGGCCUGGGGAGUGUGACAGGAGGUGUAUUUGAAUGGAUGGAAUAAGAUAUAGAUUACGAACUAUAUUUAACCUUGGUUUUAUUAUUUUCCAGUCCCCAUAAUUAGAACCAGUCUAACAAAGUGUUGCCUAGUCGUUGUCUCUAAGUGGCUUUUCUUAGUUAAUAGCUAAUAAUGAUUUGUAAUUAGCAAAUAAUUUGAAUGUAAAUAGAUUCUUCUACACUGCCUACCAAUGCUUGAAAACAAUUUGUUCUCUUAAAUAGCCUAGAAAUUACCCAGGCAGUCUUGAUGAUGCUGUUAAUUUGUUUGGUUAAAAAAAAAAAAAAUUCUGUAUGAGAAGUAUAAAGGAAACUUCAGCUCCACCUGAAUUCUGUACGUGAAUUGUAACAUAUUGAACCUUUGGACUCCAAACAGAUGAACCAGUUCUGGUGUCAGGCAGCAGUCAAUAUGGGGGGAAAUAUGUGUCAUGGAAAAGAAUUCAAAAUAUGCCUUAGUAGGUCACUGGAUGCCUCAGAAAAAUGCUUAAGCCUAGUAAUGUGGCCAAAGUCCUUAGAAUUUCCCUGGCAGUGCCCUCAAAUUGGAAGGUGAAGAAACCCCGAGAAAGGGAAAUGCAUUAGGAAAUUACGAAUCUGGAUGGGGAAAAUGAAAGGUUUGGAUGGGAGCUCGAAAGUGAGCUAGCACAGGAGCCAGGGUGCCCCCCACCAGUGGGCCAGCGGGACCCGGUGACACGUUCCGAGAGGAAUCUGAAGGAGACUGAGAAGUGGAAGGUGAUCCCCAGGUUUGGACCUGAUUCCUUCAUUUGUCAAAUCCUUGCCCGUCAUCACAAAGGGGACCUAGAGGGGAAACAAGGCCUCAAAGAUGUCACACCUUUGGGAAAAGAACAUUUCCAAGCACUGAAGGGUUCACUUUGUUAAUUUCAUAGGCAACAUCCAGCACACUGACAGACCAACACUGUCAUUCAGAUACGGCCAGACAGGAGCAGCAGGAGUAAUUCUAUAAACUGAGCCCACUGGGCUGACCCCCCAAUACUUUCACUUUUAAAAAGCAAUUUACCUGCAGCCCUGCCUGGUUGAAGUCCACAGCACAUGUUAUAUUCCUCAGCAAACUACUUGUUCUCUACAGGAGAAAUGCAGUCCCCGAAAUGCCAAUAGGAAGAACACGAGUCACCCUGUGGUGGUGGGGACUUCUGUGACCCUUAUACAGAUCAGAUCCUGGAAUUCAGGGAGUUAAGAAGAAUGUUCCCUAUCUAUACAAUCUGUAAGAAUUUAUAAUUAAGAAUCCAGUUACAACUGGUCAGCAAGGGCCAAAGUGACCUAGAGAUGCCAUGGCAAUGGGGACUUGACAAUCUGAUGUCAUCUUGCUGUCAGUCAAAAGUCAAGAGGUAGAGCUGGGCAGGACUCUCUGGAACUUCCCUAGGACCCUCUGCAUAAAACUGGAGGGAAGAAGGAGCAUGCCAUCCAUCUCCUGUCUGCGAGGAUCCAGUCUCUCCCUUGAGAGUGUCCCUUUUCCCUCUUCCCAACCCUUCCAAUAUAAGCCCUUGCCUUUUAUUCUGAGCAACUUGUGAAGUCUUUCUGUCAUGAUCACAAGAACCAGGGUGAAGGGGGGUCCUCUGCAGCUGCCUUAGCUUUGUGGGGGACUGAUGUCCUGUAACACUUCCACACUGGGAAAUGUGCUUGAUAUGAUUUAGAGAAGAGUUUCCUAAUGGUCCAUGAGUUAAAGACUUGGUCCCCAGCCUCUGACACUAUUAGGAAGUGGCGGAACCUCUAAGAGGUGGGCCGUAGGACAGGAAAGUAAGACCCCUUCCUCUUUUUCUCUGUUUUUCCAGCUGUAGAUAUUUCUAUGUCAGCCUACAGAAAGAGUCUUAUUACAUUUAUUUUCAACAGCAUUCUUCUAUGUGAAAUGUACCACGAUUUAUUACACCUGUCCUCUGUUGGUGAAUGUUAUUUCCAAUCUUUUACUAUUAGAAAGAGUGCUUUUGCAACUCCAUGUACUCCCACCAUGAUGUUUGCUUCGCCACUGGCCCAAAAGAAACGAAGCCAAUGAAUUACAAAUUGGUACUUCUGAAACUGUGACCCAAUAUGUCUUUUUUCUCCAUAAACUGUAUUUCCGGUUUUUAUUUGUUUGUCUGGUGAUAGUGAUGAAGAGCUGUCUAACACAGUGCUCAGAGACUGACUUUUCUAAAAUCAGGUAGACUUUUAAUCUGUUGCAUUAUGGAGAGACUGAGGGCCACUUGGUCACCAGGCUUUAUGGGCAGGGUCAGGCUGAAAAGACUUCUGGUCGCAGCAUCCCUGGCAUGUCUACCCCUAGUUUUGCAUCAGUCUAAAUGACUAAAAUGCACACCCCUGGCCCUGCAUUUCCCUACUGAAUUUCUAACCUACAUUAUAAGCAAUGUAAUAUUAUUAGAAUUUUAUCUCUGCAAAUUUCCCUACCACCUAACGUAAUUGAAUGUCUCCUUAUCACCUUUUCCCUGGCACUUGCUAUACCUCAGUUAUAACAUUUAUCGCAUGUCUGUGACUAUAUUUGGCUCCUCUUAACUUUGUUGACUAAGUAAGACGUUCAUGUGAUUUACACAUUUAAGUGGCUGUUCCUUCUCCUCACCCCUGUUUAACAUCUCAGCAGACACUACCUUGCCCUCCCUGCCCCCAGAUAGUAAUUGUAAUUGGGUUUGUGUGUCCUUCCAAAGUUUCUUUCUGAACAAAUAAGCACUUUCAACUAUAUUCUUUUUUUUCUCCCUCUCUGCUACCCAGAGAAUAAAGCAUGUCCUAUACAUUGUCCUUUUCCUUGUCCCUUUGAACUUAAUGUUCCCAGAAGAUACUUUUACGUCAGUCUGAACAAACAGCUUUCUUGUUGUUAUUUUCAGUUAUGUUCUUCUAUUUGGAAUGAACCACGAUUUCUUACCCCUGUCCACUAUGGAUGAAUAUUAAGCUGCUUCCAAUCUUUUGCUGUUAGACAUGGUGCUGCUAGCGUUGUUCUGUGUCCCUAACAUCACAUGUGUAAUCUAGAAUUGCCUUAACGCUGAUGAUGGUGCCGAAUUGCUCUGCACUGGGUCUGUAAGAAUUUGGAGACCUCCCAGAAAUAUUUGGGUAUUUCUGAUUCUGGAGACUUAUCAUCCCAGAUAAGUGCUGUUUAACCUUUGCAUUUUUGCUAAUUUAAUACAUGAAAAUCAGUACCUCUUAAUCACAUUUUUCUUAUUAUGAAUAAAUUUAACUCUCUAGGAUUUCUUUUCCUUGAACUCCUUCUCCAUAUUCGUUAUACAGUAUUGCACUGAAUUAUCACUCUUUUUUCCUUUCAAUUUCUGUGUGUGGGGUGAUCUAUUAGGGAAAAUUGCUGGAUUUUGUCUGUAAUGUGAACUGCAAUACUGUGAAUGAAUUUGUCAUUGUUUCUGGACUUCACUGAUGGAUCUUUGGUUAGUUUUUUUUUUUCUUUCCACCCAGAAUAUUUCUUUUAAUAUUUGCAUUCUGAAAUUCUUUAAUUAUUUUUCUUUUUGGCUUGUGACUUUUGAGUCAUAAGUUUGAAAGACAUCUCCAUUCCAUAUUUCUAGUAAUUCUAUUGAUUUAGUUUUUUUCCCAACUUUAAGCCUUGAUUCACUGGGAAUUCAUCCAAAUAUAAAAAUGAGUGAUGAACCUAGUAACCCUAUCACUGCUUUUUUAAAAUUUUUUUUUUAUUAGUCUGUCUUUUCUACAGUGAUUUGAGAUAUUCUCUGUCUCAUUGUAAAAUUGGGCUGGAGGCUUCAGAGUUGUUUCUGGGCUUUCCGGUUCAUUGAUGUGUCUAUCCAGCAUCAGUACCACACAGGUUUUGUUAUUAGUAUUUUGCACUGUGCUCUGUGGUUUAAUAUCUGGCAAGGUUAGCCUCCACCUCUCAUUAUUUCUCUUCUUCUUUCUUCUAUAAUCCCCCAAAUUCUAAAACUGGAAUUUAUAAGUAAGAGAUGACAUUUUAGUGGAAUCACACUAAUUUUAUCAACUUAUAGCAACCUGACAUCUCUUCCAUGUUACAUCUGCUGAAGCAUGAACACACUACGUCUUCUCACUUUUUCCAAUUCCUUUUGAUGUCCUCCUAUAGGAGUUUAUUCAGUGUAUUUCCAAGAAUUCCUUGUUUUAUGGCAAUUAAGGAUGGAGUCUAUUUUUCAUUAUAAUAUUUAGCUGAAUACCAAUUUGGCAUGUAUUUGUAUGAAUGACUGAUUUAUUCCAAUAACUUUUAGACCCAAUUUAUUUAUUGCAUGCACAAAGCUUUAUUUUCAUGGUACCUUCAAAUACCUGGAGGCUAAUUUCUGUGAAGCUGCAUAACAAUGCUCCUGAUUUUAGAGUAAAUGGAGAGAUGGAUCAUUUGUCAUGUCAGGAAAGUGUCGCUUAUUCUGAAAUCAAGGGAUGCUCAGAUUUGUCAAAUUCUCAGCAUGCACAGAAGAUACUCAUAAUCUUUCUCUUGCAUAUGUUAAUACGCUUUAAAGUAUUUUGGGAACUUUGCUUCCUUACUUAUUUUAUGGAACGGUUCAAAUGGCACUGGUGUUAUCUGCUCUUACAGGUUUUGAUAGAAUUCAGCAUGAAACCAUUCUGGCUUACAUAGCUGAGAAUCUUGACAAAUUUCUCUAUCUUCCAAAGAAAUCUUCUAUAGAAAUGUUCUGCUUAUAAUUCUUAAGCCAUUUACCCAUUUUAAUAAAGUUUUCAAAUAUUUGUAAACAAUUGAAAAAACACUGGCCCCAGAUUUUUCUAAAAUGUCUUCAGACUGGUUGAUUUUUUUCUACUUAAAAAAUUGACAUUUGAUCAUUUGGUGCUGUUUCCAAUUUUUUUCCCCACCUACACCUCAUCACCAUCUGUUUGUUCUUUAAUUAGAUUAUCUGAUGUUAUACUUAAAAAAUGUUAUUAACUUUUUAUUUUAUGAUUUUUCUAUGUUCUAACACAUUUAUAUUAUUUGAUUUAUUUCUUCUUCUAGUCUCCUUUCAUUCGUGCCUUUGGAUCAUUUAUUCUUUUUUUUUAAGUUUUUGAUUCAGAUGUUUUUUAAUUGAUAUUGUAAUUAUAUUUGUAGCUAUAUAAUUUCUUUUGAAUCUGGCCUUUUGCUAUAUAUCUUAGGUUCCUAUGGGUACUUUUGCAUUAUUGAUAUUUUCUCAAUGUUCUGCACAUCCAAUUUAAAUUUUCUCUUUCAUCCAAGAGUUGUGUAAAGAAGAAUGUUUCAGUUUCCCCAGGGAUAUUUAAAUUUUUUAAUGUUUUGCUAUUAAUUUUUAGGUUUACUGCCUUAUGACUAGGGAAUAUUAUUAUGAACUAUAUGCUAGUGUUCUCCCCAAAUUGAUUUUAAGGCUCUGCCAAUGUGUUGGUACUUGGAAGUAGGGCCUUUGAGAGGUAAUCAGGUUUAGAUGUGGCAUGGGAUUGGGGAACACCUGGAAGACCACAGGCUCUUAAAAGAAGCAACCAGAGAGCUAGUUUUUCCCACACCGCUCAAUCGGCCACAGGAGGACCCAACCAAAAAACUGCCGUUUUGCAAAACAGGAAGUCAGCACCCUCCAGAAAGCAAAUUGGUCUGUACCUUGACCAUGGGCUUACACACCUCCAGAACUUUGAAAAAUAAGUGACUGUUGUUUAAGCCACCAAAUCUACACUAUUGUGCUAUAGCAGCCCAGACUGACUAACAUGAAUGCCUUUCCCAUGUUUUGAAGUGCACUAAGUUUUCCAUGUGGCCUGAGGUAUGGUGUGUGUCUCUAUGUCCUCUGUUUCAGAGUACAAAAUUUAUCAUAUGAAUCACAGCAGUCUUACAAUUCCCAUAGUAUGGAUCUCUACACAGUAUUUUUCUACUUACCUGGAAUUCUCUAAGAGAAGCAAACUAAAAUUUCUCACUUUCUAUGCAUUUCUGCCUCUUUUUGACUUUUGUCUCUUUUUUCAACUUUAUGAAGUUUAUUGUUCUUCUCUUAUUAAUAGUCCAAAUAAUUUAUCUGUAUAUUCUUUCUUUUCUCUCUCUCUCCCUCUCUCUCUCACACACAACAUACAAUCCUGCUGUUGUAUUCUCUAUUACUUUUUUCCUAGAUUUUUUCCACCCAUUUUUCCCAACCUCCCUCAGACAUUUUUUGAUUGAUUGAGUUGUAUUCGUUUUUUUCCCCUGUUUUAUUUCUUUCCAAUGAAUUUGUCUUCCUUGAUUUCUUCACUUAUAUUUCUAGAGAUGUUUCUUAAUACAGACUUUAUAAAAGGACAUAUACGGGUUAUCGCAUAUUAUGAAUGCCUUUACUCUCACAUUUGACUUAUAUUUUGGCUGGGUAUAGAAUUUGACCAUGAAAAUACUUUUCCUUCUAUGCAGGAAAGUGUCACCAUCACUCUAACCCCUGUGUACUGUGCCACCUGCUAUGUUGAUAAUGAACCUUCUUUUUCCAGCUUUAUGCUCAUUCCUAUAUAAUUUUUUUUCUUUUAAAUUUGAAGAAUUUUCAGAGAUGCACUUCUAUGUAUUGUAAUUUCUUCUAAAUUUAUGUUUUGAUAUUAUCAUUUAAUCCAUAGUCUUUCAUAAACUCUUUCAAAUUGCUUUUUCAGAGUUCUGCUUUCAUAAUCUUUGAUAGUCAUAACAGAAAGUUUCCUAUGCUCCCAUGCUCUCAAAUACCUUCUAUAACCUGAUGAUACCUGAAAUUGACUCAAUAUUUAGGCUCCCCACAAAGUUCCUACAUUGGAAUAAAAACUCUCAAGGUAACUGCACUAGCAGUUAAGGCACUUGAGAAGUGAUUAGUGCCCUUGAUAACUGACCCCAGAGAGAUUCUCCACCAGUUCCACUAUGUGCAAACAUGGCAAAAGUGAUGACCAUCUCUCCACCAGGAAGCAGUCCUCACCAGGUCUGGAGUCAGCUGAUAAAGUGACCUUGAACUUUCUAGCCUCCCAAACUACGAACAAUAAGUAUUGUUUACUAGUCACUCAGUCUAUCACAUUUUGUUAUAGCAGCCUCAGGGGGCUAAGGCGAUAACUCUAGGGCUUCUUUGCUCUAAACUCAAAAUUUUGUAUUUCAAUAACUUAUUUAAAGUAAUAAUAAUAAGUACAUUAUUAAUGUUUAUGAAAAAUGUAGUAUAAUCAAGUUUUCUAGUAUUUUAUAGGAACUUCCUACUGUGUUCUCCAUGUUACAUAAAGUUCUGAGACUUCUGGAGAGAUGAAGUUGUUUUCCGUAGAGCAGAGCUGAUAAAUGUCAGAGCCAGCUCUUAGUCUGUCUUCAUAGCCAUGGGGACCUUCAGUUCUGUGCUGUGCUGGCUCCCUCCUUACUCUUAGUUAUAGGACCCAUAAGCUCCUUAUAUUUGUCAUACCUAAAAUCUUGUCCACCAUCUUUUGCCCAAGACAAUUUUUUUUUUUACUUUACUUGCCUCUUUCUACCCAAUUCAGCUAUGACAUGCUCUGGAGCUAUUUCAUCUGGGCUGGGACUCUAGUUCCACCAUCUAAAAUUUUGUGACUUUGGGAAAGUUACCUAAAUGGACAUGGACCUUAGUUUUUCUAACUCUUAAAAAGAGAAGAAUAAUGUCAUCUCAUUCAUAGAGUUAUUGCACAAAUGCCAGGCUCCAUACAGAGCAACUGGAUGCAAAAUAAAAACUCAAAAAUGCUAUUAUUCUUUAAAUUGUCCUUUUCCUCUCUUUUGUUACUGUGCACAUAUUCCAUCAAGCUGAGAAACAUAAUGUUCUAAAUAACUUUUAAAAACCAUACUUUGCUUAAUUUCUCCUCCAGUUUUCUAGUGAGUACAAGACUCUCCUGUCUCUCUAUCACAGUCUCCUUAUGACUCUUUUUACUUCUACUCAUACCUGAUAAAAUCCAUUGUCUACCCUGCACCAGGAGUCACCUAGAUAAAGUAGAAAUCUCAUCAUUUAGCACUCAUGCUUAAAUCCCCAACACACUUAAUUCCUUGAAGACAGCUUCCAAACGGCUUAGCCCAGCUAGCAAUGUCUGGAACCGUUUGGGUCCUGCCUCCUUCUCCAGUCAUCUCACCCUCCCUUUUGAUCUCCUUGCUUUUAGUCAUCAUUCUCCAUUUUCCCUGAUGCCUUUUCAUAGCAUUUCCACAUUCUCAUCCCACGCCCUGGCACAUGCUGUCAGCUGUGCGACACUUUUCACUCCCAGUUCCGCCUCUGCCCAACAGGUCAUAGGUGUAGCCAGUCCCUGCAAAAUCCCACAAUAAUAACAUAGGCAUGAAUUGAGUAUUGCCCUUGCUGCUCAUGUAACACUUUGGACCUCUCCUAACCUAGCACAGACUCCCUGCUUUACAAUUAUUCUUUGACUCGUCUGUCUCCCUCCAAUGAAUCAUACUAUCAGUGGGAAAGAGACUUUUCUAUCUGGUUACCAUUGGAUUCUGCCCUCAAACACCAUUUCAAAAGGAUAAUGAGAACUCAAAGGAUAUCCCUUGAAUAGAUAAAUUAAUAAAUGAAUGAGCCUUACAAGUAGGUAAUUGCUCUGGUUUUGAUGCAGAUGAUUAUUAGCUUGGGUUUCUUUUCCUCAAGGAACUUAGAAUCUAUUUGGGAGGUAAAUACACUCACAUAUUUUUAACUAUAUGCCACGUAGUAUCCUAGGAUCUAUCGAAAACUUAUCAUAUUUCAUAUUUAUAAAAGUUCUCUAAGAUAGGAAUUAUCAUUAUCCUUAUUUAAAGAUGGAGAAAACGAGAACAGACAAUGCAUGUAAUGUGCACAAAGUCAAACAGAGCAAGUUGCAGAGCUCAGCUCUGGACCCAGGCAGACUGAAGCUUGAACUCACAGUCUUGACUGUGCACUGAAGGAGACGAGAGGGUCACAUGUCUACCACCACCUUGGAGUUCUGAAGGUCUUGUCUGAUUAUUUCAAAGCCAUCCAUUUCACGCAUUCUUUAAGCGUCUCUUAACCCCAUUCUCCUGUGGAAACUCAAAGAUAAGUAACAACUUUUGGGUGCCUAACCCCCAUCUGUACUGCACAUUUGAUGAUCCUGUACCACUUUGAACAAACUCUGCCCAAGUCCUUUAUGUAAAUGGCUGCAGGUCAUUGUUCCUGACUUAGAUUUACUUGUCUUUGCCCUCAUUUGUUUUUAAGAAAGUGUUGACAGGAUAAGUCUUGCAGUAACUGUUCAACCCUCUCACUUCUAACUAUGUAGAUAUUUGAUUUAGGUCGAGAUAGCCCCAGUAACCGCUACAGCACUUUAAACACAAGAAACCAUAGAUAAGGAUUAUGUAUUGAGUUGAAAUAUGAAAAGCUCAUAAAAGAAAAAAAAAACAGGCAUGCUGUCUUAAAAGAUCAGUACUGAUGCUUUUCAUUAAUAGUGUCCUCUGGACUAGAAUUUACCUACAUAACAUGAUGUGGUAUUAUCAAAAAUGUUGUGCAAAUGAUGAAAGAAUCCUCAGAUGUGGGAAGAGAUUAAUUCAAAUAUUUGAUGAAAAUUAAGAGACCAAGACUAUACUGAGGGUCCCUGGCCGUUUUUAUCAUCCAUUAUUUGCUGUUAUAAUCUUUGUACUUCCAUUUCCUCUGGAUUCUCUGAUUUUACUCAUAUACUAUUCGGCAGUUUAUUUUCCUACAUCUCAUUUUGACAUCCAGUUGAUUUGUAAAUUCAAGAGCAAGCAAAAGAGUUUGCAUCUUUACCAACUUCAAGGCUCUUUUGAAUUCUGGUUUUAUGUAGCUAAUUGCUGCUUUGUGUCAAAUGGUUUUGUUCACAUCUAGUGGUAUUAAGUUUUUUGAAAUUUAUAUUUAACAAGGUAGACUUCACUAGUUAAGUGGAUGCCAAUUAACCUAAAAUCUGAACUGACUUUUAAAUGCAAGUCAUUCCUAUCAAAUUAGCGUUCUCUACAGAUUUACUAGAUAGCUGUCAACACAAUGGAGCCUAGGCAUCAAUUUUAAGCAAUUUAUUUUUUUAAGUUUAUAAUAUUAGUUUGAUUGUGAUUAUAUAGUCCAAAUUUGUAUAAUUUUCUGUCAAUUACCAAGACCUAGAGGAAUUUUGUAUAUUAUUACAUUUUAAUCAUCUUUAUAAUUAACAUUUAAUUUAUAUUCUUUUUUUUAAUUUUCCAUCUAUGGAAUGUACUUUGAGUUUGUCACAGAGAAUUCAAGCAAUUUUUUCUGCCAAUUAAAUGACAUUUUAUUUUUCUAAGUGAAUUGACUGCUGGGGAAAUGGGCCUUGAAGAUGAAAGGCCUGUUUAUUAAUAAAAAGAACCUCCUGCCCCACCUAGACAUAUGCAGCCAUCUUACUAUUUCUUCUGCAUGACUCAGGGUCUUUCUGAAACAAGGCCAAGAUUUCAAAGUCCAGUUUUUAAAAAGUUGUUGAGAAUUCUAAUAACAAGUAUGUUGAUCCUGGUACCUCUACUGCAAAUCCUACCUGCUUGGAAUUGGUCCACCAAAUCAGUAUGUGAUAUUAUGUAUAAAACAAUGGAAAACACUAUAUAUUUCUUUACUCUUGUGUGAAAAUAAAAGCUAAAAUGUUACAGUGAAUACUCGAUGUUAAUAAUAAUAAAAUAUAUUAAAUAUUCUUUAACCCUUUAACCCUUACAGUAUAACCCGCUUAUACUCAUUUUUAUUUUCCGUUAAUUUGCAGUGAUAUGGUUGAAUUCUGAUUCUAUAGUAACUUCAUUACAUUUAAUUAUAUUAUCUUACAUUCAAUCUUUUUUGCCUUCCAUUAGCAAGGAGAAAAAUAUAUGACCAGAGGUUAAUAGUAGAAGGUUAGUUAUACAUGAAAUGAGGAACAGAUUAAAGACCAGUAAAAUGCUAAUGUUACAUAUUUGAAUUCUUUGCAUGAUAUGCACUCAGCAAUUCUUGAUAUCAUGUUCCAAUGAGAAACUUAUGUGCUCACAUAGUGACAAAGCAUUUGAGAAUGCUGAAGGGGCUCAGUGAGAAAAUUUCCAACUAUAGCCAUUACUGCAUUCAAGUACACAUUGAAUGACACAUGCAGCAUUACAGACCGCUUUCUCCAUGGAAUAAGUUGGCAUAUCAAUUUACUUAUUUAUUUACUUUGUAUCAGAUGGAACCCAUUUGAGAUAAGUCUCAUGUGUUCUGUUUUUCAGCAGUUCUGCAGAGGGGUUAUGUAAACAUAUUAAAUAGUACUCAAGUAGUGAAGGACACAGAAAGGAUGUUAGAUCGGGUUUAUGAGGCAACAAAGGUUAUGACGUUGCCAUUAUUUCCAGGAGGAGGACCCUCUGGGGAUAUAAGCAUCAUGAUAAAAACAUCCAUAACUGCUCACAAAGGACAUGCUUAUUUGUCCUUUAUAAUUUAUCCUUUUACCAUGUGAAUCCAGGCAACUAGGUCAAAAUUCCCUGUUCAAACACCAAAAAAAGGGAGGAGGGAUCAGGGCAAGAUAUUUUCAUUUAAUGCAUCAUAAUGUGUCUCUUCAUUUCAAGAAACAUACAUUUAUGUACAUAUGCAUGUGUAUAUGUGCAUACACAUAUGUCCAUGUAUACAUGUACUAAUGUGGUAUUAGUGCAAUUAUUGGAUGGUGAAUGUGCAAUAUGAAGCCAUUCACUCUUUUCUCCUUUAAUCUUAAAGCCCCCCAAAUUUAGUCCAAUUGCUCUAAUAAAAACAGAAGUGAAACUUUAUAAAAACUUUCAAAGAAUUAGCCACUUAAGAUCUUCCCAAUAUUGGUAAUUUUUAUUCCUUUCAUAGGAAGAUUCAUUCUUUGUAUGAACUUUCACUAGUGCCACUUGUGUGGCAUGGAACAUCUUAGGUAACAGGACUGCUGUGGUCAUUUAGACAAGUCCCUGCUUUCCUGUGGGUCAUUUUAGCUAAAUGGAUGUUUGGACAUGUUAUAGCUGACAAGGAAAAAAGCUGCCUCCACACAUUUUCCGAGCAUUGAGUAGUAAUUAAUAAAGGUCUAUUUUAAUAAAACAUGUUUGAGAAGAUGGUGGGUGAGAGAAAAGUCGUACCUCCAGUUGUUCUGUGGCUUGGUAUUCAAGCAGCAGGCGUACUGCUUCUCAGAAAGGUGUGUGAAAGAGGGAUCUCACUGAAAUUAAAUAUCAGUCAGAGACAACUGGAGACUCAUAAAUUCAGGCGUAUGGAACAAAGAAUAAGAAUGAGUACAUUGGGGACAAGACAGUGGUGGCAGUGGCCAGGACCUUGGUUCACCACAGAAGAAAGGGAUAAUACAAGCAGAGAGAGAAACACAGUGGACUAACUUGACACAAAAACCCUGUAGAACAGGGAAGUGACAUGAGUGUAGCCAAUCCAGAGGCUGCACAGCAAACUGGUGUGUCUGAAAAUUGCUCUAUUUCUCAAGUGGCAAGUGGAAAGCUGACGCGAAGAGCUAUUUUGAGGAGGCCACACUGCAGCUUGCUGUUGCAGGGAGCCAGUAGAUGAUAGAAAACAUUGCCAUGCUGCUCUGGCAAUCACCUAUCCAUGGCCUGGGCUGUGUCUAGCAGAAUGUGAUAAAACAGGCCCAGAGAAGACUCCACCCAGGGGCAUUCAAGUCAGAGUUAUGGAGGGAAGCACAGUUAUUAGCACUGUGGAUGACAUGCUGACACCGAAUGUUUACUUUAAUGCCAAAUCUAGUCGGUAGAUAUUUAUUGUUUUUGCUUCUGGCAAUUCCUGACCCAACCAUUCUAUUUUGCAGUAAAUAGUAUUGCAGAUGUCAUAGUGAGCACAGAGUAUUUAUUUUAAUAUUGUAUAUUAUUUGCUGCAGUUGUUGAUAUUUUUUUAAUCCCUUUUCUUUGAGGUUCUGGGAACUUAUUGGGACUUUACAAGUUCACAGGGUAGAGACUCAGUUGCAGAGCUAAACUUAGCCAAGAGAGAAUGCACCUUGCUGCAUACACAAAUUAACCAUGCUCCAAAUUCAGUGAUACUAUAAAACAAAGAAUAUAAAAGACAAAAACCUAAAAACAACAACCAUGCCCCAAGUAGUAGUAGCUGGGGUAGCCUUAGAUUCCACUAAUGGAAUCCACUCCUCCAGUGAAACCAGAAUUAACAUAAAAGCUAUGGACAACAACCUUGGAAGGAUUCUCAAUCCACUCUAAAACACUUUGCAAAGAGAAGAAUUUGUCUCUAAAGGUGUGCAUUUAAGAGUAGAAGAAAAAUCCAUUCCAAUAGAUGCAUAAAACCCAAUACAAGAAUACAAAAAAUAUGCGAAAAUGAAGUAUCAUGAUAAAGUUCAUAAUUUAUGAGCAACUGAAUCCAAAGAUAUUGAGAUUGAUGAAACACCAGAAGAACAACUCAAAAGAAUGAAUAUAAAAAAUGAUUAUAGAAUUCCAAAAGGAUGCAGAAACACAACUGAAUAAACCAAGGAAGUUGGUAUACAGUAUGAAUGAAAAAUUCAAUAAAGAUAUGGAGAUAUUGAAAAACAACCAAAGAAAUCUUUGAAAUGAAAAACAAUAAAUCAAAUUAAAAGUUCACUUGAAAGUCAUUCUAAUACGAUAGACCAUGCUGAGGACAGAAUUUCAGAGCUGGAAGACAAAGUGGCUGGCCUUGAACAUUCAGAUAUCAUUUAAGAAAAGAAAUUAAGGAGCCAUAACUAAAAUAUACAAGAAGUCCGUGCAUUAAGAGAUUGAAUUUAAGAAUCAUUGGAAUCUAAGAGGGUUGUAAGAUACAGGAUAAUAUCGUGAAUAACCUUUUCAAGAACAUAAUAACAGAAAAUUUUGCAAAUCUUGAGAAUGAGAUUGACUUUGAGAUAAAGGAGUCAUUCAGAAUCCCAAACAGACAUGAUUUUAAAAGAACAUUUGUAUGACAUUAUAUAAUUAAAAUACCUAACACAGAUAACAAGAAUAGAAUUUUUAAAAGCCUCAAGAGAAAAAUAUCAGGUCACUUAAUAGGAAAGCCAAUCAGAACUACUUGUGAUUUUUCUUAGCACCAACCCUAAAACCAAGAAAAUAACUGUCACUCAAGAUUUCUACAUCCAGCAAAACUGUCCUUCAGAAUUAAAAAGGAAAUAGAAAUCUUUAAAGUUAAGCAGAAACUAAAAAAACUGAUAUUACUAAGCUGACACUAAAGAACCACUUAAAGAAACAACAGAGAGAAAAUAAAUAAAAAAACAAACCACAAAAUUAACAAAUGGACAAAUCUCAUUUGAAGAGUAGCUAACAAAUGGAAAACAGUGCUAAAUUAAACAAAAGAAAAUAAAAUGGCAGGAAUGAACAAACAUCUCUCUAUAAUGUCACUGAAUGUAAAUAGUCUCAACUUUCUAAUUAAAAGUCAUAGGCUGGCAGAAUGGAGUAAACAAUAAGACUCAAUUAUAUGCAGUUUGCAAGAGACUCACCUUACAGGCAAAGACAGCCACAGGUUGAAAGUGAAAAGAUACCAUGCAAAUGGAGCCCCCAAACAGGCAGGAGUAACUACUCUCAUAUCUCAUAAAGAAGACCUCAAGAAAAAAUUAAUCAGAAGAGACAAAUGAUCAUUUAGUACUUACUGGUAAAAGAAGUGAUCCAAAAAGAAAAUAAAAUGAUAGUAAAUAUUUAUGCCCCAACCAUUGCUACAUCUAAUUAUAUAAAACAGACACUACUCAAAUUAAAAAGUCAGUAAACCCUAGAACAAUAACAAUGGGAGAUACACACACACGUAUGUAUGUGUGUGUGUGUGUGUAUAUAUAUAUAAAAUCUCCACUCUAAUGUCAUAAUGGAAUGAAACUAGAAAUAAACAUGAAAAAACUACAGAAACUAUAUAAAUACAUGGAGAGUGAACAAUAUACUUUUGAAUGAUGAAUGGGUGAUAGAAGAAAUCAGGAGAGAAAUUUAAAAAUUCAUAGAAACAAACAAGAAUAUUAAUACAUCAUACCAGAACAUCUAGAACACUCUAAAGGUGGUUCUAAGAGGAAAAUUUACAGUUACGAGUGACCACAUAAGAAAACUAAAAAGAUCCCAAGAAAACAACCUAGUAAUGCAUCUCAAAACCAUUGAAAAACAACAACAACAACAAAAAAUACUAACCGUUUUUAAAAAUGCAGUAGAAGGAAAAAAAUAAUUAAGUUUAGAAGUAAAAUCAAUGGAACAGAUAAUUUUUAAAAAAAUAAUCAAUGAAACAAAAACUUGUUUCAACCAAUACAGAGGAUCAAUAGGGUAUUUUAAAACCUAUACUCCAAUAAAUAGGGAAACUGAAAAGAAAUGCAUAUAUUUAUAGGCACGUAUAAUCAACCCAAAAUUGAAUCAAGUGGAUGUAGAUAACCUGAACACACCAAUAACUAGCCAUGAUAUAGAAACUGUAAUGAAAUAAUCUUCCAACAAAGAAAAUUCCCAAACCACAUGAAUUUUCAGAUUAAUUCUACCAGAAAUUUAAUGAAGAUCUAAUUUCAAUGGUCUUCAAUUUUUUCAUAGAAUAGAAAUGGGAGGAAAACUUCCAAAUUUGGUCUCUGAAGCCAGUGUCACAAUCAUAUUAAUACCAAAUAAAGAUACCUCAAGAAAAGGAAACUACAUAUCAGUUUCCCUGAUGAACUUAGAUGCAAAACUCCUUAAGAAAAUAUUAGAAAAUCAGAUUCAACAACAUAUUAAGAAGAUUGUACAUCAUGACAAAAAUAGAUUUAUCCCAAGGUUGCAAGGAUGAUUUAACAUAUGCAAAUCAAUAAAUUAACUCACCACAUAAAUAUAAUUAAGGACAAAAAUCUCCUAAUGAUCUCAAUAGAUGGAGAGAAAAAUCUUAGACAAAUUCAGCAGCCAUUUAUGAUAAAAACAAUGAAGAAACUAGUAUAGGAGGAAAUUACCUAAACACCAUAAAGACUAAAUACAACAUACUCAAAGCCAACAUCAUAGAGAUUAGGGGAAAACUGACAUUUUCUUUAAAAUCAGGAACCAGACAAGGAUGUUCUCUCUCACAACUAUUAUUCAGUUUAGUUCUUGAAAGCAUAUCCAUCCAGAGUAAUCAGGGAAGAGAAGGAAAUAAAAGUAAUACAAAUAGGAAAAGAAGAAGUCAAAUUAUCUCUCUUUGCUAAUUACAUGAUCCUAUAUUUAUAAAAUCCAAAAAAACUCUAUCAGAAAAAUUUUAUAGCUGAUAAACAAAUUCAACAAAGUAGCAGGUUACAAAGUCAACAUUCAAAAAGUAAUAUUUUCCUAUAUACCAAUAAAUAAUCUGCAGAGAAAGAAAUCAUGCCAGAAAUCAAUCACAUUCAUAAGGGCCUCAAAAAAGAAAAAAACCUAGGGAUUAAAUAUGACCAAGGAGUUGAAUAAAAACUAUAGAACACUGAAUAAAGAAAUUUAGGAAGGUAGCAGAUUGAAAGACCUCCAAUGUUCAUAGAUAGACUGAGUUACUAUUGUUAAAAUAGCUUAAGAAUAUACAGAUUCCAUGUCAUUUCCAUUAAAAUAUCUAUGAAAUUCUUUACAGAAUUAGAAAAACAACAAUCCUAAAUUCAUUUGGAAAAAUAAAAGAUCCAGAAUAGCCAAAGAAAUUCUAUGCUAAAAGAGCAAUGUUGGAGGCAUCACAAUUCUUAACUUGAAAUUAUACUACAGAGCUAUAGUAGCAAAAAUUACAUGUUUCUGGCAUAAAAGGACAUAUUCACUGAUAGUACAGAAUAGAAGACACAGAUACAGACCCAAAGAGAUACACCCAUCUGAUCCUAGACAAAGAUGUUUUUUAAACAAACAGUACUAGGGAAACUGGCAAUCCAUCUGUAGAAAAUAAUACAAGAUCCUUAAAUCUCACCCUGCACAAAAGUCAACUCAAAAUAGAUCACAGACUGAGAAAUUAGAUUAAAAAUUAUGCAACUCCUUAAAGAAAACAUAGGGUGAAGACGGUAACAUAUAGCCUCAGGAAUGACUCUGUAAAUAGGAUUUCUAAAGCUCAGGAAAUAAUGCCAAGAAUUUUAAAAAUAGUGUUGCAUCAAGUUAAAAAGCUUCUGUACAGCAAAAGAAAUGAUUAGAAAUGUGAAGAGUGGACCAAGAGAAUGGGAGAAAAUCUUUGCUAACUAUCCUUCCACAGAGGAUUAAUAUCCAGAAUAUGUACAGAACUCAAAAAUCUUAACAUCAAGAAAAUAGCAAUUCAUCAAUGGGCAGAUGAAUGGAACUGACAUUUUUCUAAAGAAGAAAUACAAAGGGCCAACAAAUAAAUGAGGAUUUAAUCCUAUUGAAAUGUUCAAUAUCUUUAGCAAUUAAGGAAGUGAAAAUCUAAAUUAUAUUGAGAUUUCAACUCACCCAGUUAAAAUGGCAGUCAUCAAGAUUUCAAACAAAAAUGCUGAAGAGGAUGAGGAGAAAAUGGAACUAUUAGAACGACCACUGUGGAAACCAUUAUAGAGGUUCCAUAAGAGACAAAGCAUGGAACCACCAGAUGACGCAGGAGUACCACUCCUUAGUAUUUAUCCUGAAGCAUUAAAGUCAGCACACUACAGCAACACCCAUGUUUAUAGAAGCACAAUUCACAAUAGCCAAACCAUGGACACAUAAACGGGUAAAGAAAAUGUAUUAUUUAUACACAAUAGAACUUUAUUUGGUCAUAAAGAAUAAUAAAAGGAUGUCAUUUGCCCGAAAAUGGAUAGAUCCUGAGAACAUUAUGUUAAGCAAAAUAAGCCAAACUCAGGAGGACUGAGUAUGUUUCUUCCCAGAUGUGGAAGCUAGAGGAAAAAGAAAGAGAAUGUUGAGGGCAGGGUAUAUCAUGAAAAUCAGAGUAGAGUAGAAGAAAGGGACCAAGAGGAGGGGGAAGGGAGUGAGCGGUGAAAUCCUGGGGAGUGGUAAUGGCCAAGUUACAUUGUUACGCUGUGUGCAUGUAUGAUUAUGUAACAACAAAUAAUACUAUCAUAUACAAUUAUAAUGUAACUAUAAAAAUACGGAAAAAAAUAAGAACAUAAAAAAGCAAGUUCUUUGACGUAGUUUAACAGAUUUCCUAAGAUUGGCAGAUUCAAAUCAAGUUACAUUUAUUUAUUGUAUACCACACUAUAACUCAUAUUAUUAAAAUGAGGUUAUAUUUCUAUGAUUUGUACUGAUAAUAUGCAUAAAUCAAUAAUCCUAGAUAGCUAAUGUAAAUAAAUAUAUCUGCAGUGCACAGAUAUUUGGCUUUAAACCUGGCUAAAUGUUUCAGAACAAGAAACAUGAUUUUCAUCUAAACUGAUGACAAAUCUGAGCUUUUAUGAUAAGCCUUGUUUUCCUAAAGAGUUCUAGGUCGAUACUUCCCACAACAACAAUUGUGACCAUCUGAAACUCUGCUCCCAAAUUUAAAAUGAGGUCAAGUAUUUAUUCACAUGAAUUAUUUGAUCACUUGGAGUAAAUGACUUCACUCUAAAAACAACGGGAACACAGAAUAAGGGAAACUCUUUCUCUUUAAAUACAGGAGCAGCACCUGUGGAAAGAUCCACAUCAGAUAACACUAACUGAAUCAUGAGAGGACAUUCCAACUUGUAUGGAACAGAAACAUAACUCAUCUACUCCAACCCGUGGUACGGCAUUAAAAAAAAUGGAUAUUUUGGAUAAAGAAAAAGUUUAAGAUGACAGUUUCUCCAAACAGGCUCAAAGCUGCAUGAAGUCAGCAGAGAGAUAUGUCCCAAAGAUGUCCCCACAUAGUGCUUACAGCUGAAAAUGGAUAGUGAGGAAAGCAGGUUACACAAAAUUAGUGUCAAGGUGCUGUGAGCCCUGCUAAUGUGCCCAUAGGAGCAUUUGAAGAGAAGAAAUUAAGGGUUUUGACAUCUUAAAGAAUAUACAAGGGUACAAUUUUAGAUGACAACAACAGCCACAUCAUAGUGAGAACCAGUUUACUCCUUGGAUAUUGUCAGCACACUCACACACUAUGGAAAUCCCAGGAAAUGGUGAAGGCAAAAGUGAGACAAUGUUCUUGAUAAUUCUAUAGAACAUGACUUGAUAGAUUUCAAGAAAUGCUGAGUUUCAUUUUCCAAAUGGCUUGUUUUGAGCUCUAUCUGGUUUUGCUUUUAACUAGAUAUGUGGUAGCAAAAUUACAUGUUUCCAAGAUUCUCGUGUUUUUUGACGUGUAGAACUUGGUCAAGACUUAGUGGUGUUUCAAUUUCAGGAAGAACUUGUGAUGGUCAAGUUAGAAAAAUUGAGUAGAAAAUUCUUUAUAAUCUGUACAAUGUUACUGCAACAGGUUCAAUUUUCUACUAUUAGGUCUCAAAAUCACAUACAAGAAGAUAGGUUAGUUCAACAUUUUGACAAACAGUUAUUGACAUCUACCACAUGCCUUCACUGUGCUGAGCAUUAGAGAGAUAACAGAGAAUAACUGUGCACUUUAUCUUAAUGGAUUUGGAGCCUAAUUUUAAUGUGGUUUGAAAAGUGUCUUGGAUGUUUCCCCCAAAAUAUUGAGAGAUGCUUAGAUCAGGACAUAGACCUCAGAGUUCCCAAGAAAGAUGACCCAGAACCAUUUGCUACCAUUGGGCCAGAAAACAUUGAGGGGUACUCCCAGCUAGGGAGGAUGGCAAAGGGUGUCUUGAGAUCAAUGGGUCAUAACCACACAUUUUUUUGUUGCUGUGAUCAAAGCAAAAAGGAGGGUCAAAAGAUGGGGAUCCAGGUACCCCGGGUCCACGCUGCAACACACUGGAGAAGAGCAGUUCUGCUGUUCCCACUUAUUCACUGGGUUUCCAUGUAAGAAUCUAUUUAUAGGAAGGAAUCCAUGGGAUAUUUUGAACAGAAACUUCACCAAGAAGUUGAGAGUCACGUUGCUUUAUGAAGAUGUGAAAGAUGUUCAAACCCAUUUUUCAUUAAAACCAUAGUAAGAUGUCAUUACAAAUUUAAGCAUGUAAGUUAGACAAAGGAAGCGGUAUUUGGAAGUAGUGGAGAGACUGCAACGAGCAGACACACAUCUAGAAAGGUCAGUUGUCUUUGGUUGCCAGAAGUCUGGUGUUUCCCAGUACACAGGACAUCAGAGCUAAUGCUAGGACAUCCCGAGCAAACUGGGACACUUCAUCACCUGGCACAUACUCUGUGACCUAAUAAUUCCACUCUUCAAAAUGUGUAUGUAUUUACGCACAAAAGUGUAAGAAUGCUUGUAAAUCAUGAUUCAUAACUGCCUCAAGCUAAAACAGUCAUGGAUAGGAUGGAUUGAUAAGUACUGAUAGCUUCAUAUAAUGGAUUGCUAUGCAGCAAAAGGAAAAAAUGGGAAAUGACUAGGUAGAAAUACAUGGUAAAUGUCAUGAAUGUAAUAGUAAGUAAACAAAUGGAAAAAGAUACAGCAGUUCAUAAAUAGCUAAAGUGUGGUAUUAGAAACCAUAGCAGUGACUAACACUAGUGGGUAUGAUCUUGGGGGCUCCUGAAAUGUGAGUGAUGAUUUAUUUUUGAUGUGGAUGAUAUAAUUACCUUGAAAUUCACCAACCAUACACUAACAACUUGUGCAUUUCAGAAUAUAGGAUGCUUCACUUAAAAGGCCACUUACAACUCUAAUACACCAGCCUGCCCCAUGUCUAUCUACAGUUUUACUUUCCAUGAUCAACCACCACCCAAAACUGUCAAAUGGAAGGUGGAAAUACAUAACUCAUGAGUCAUAAAUAGCCUGAUGAAAUAUCAUACUGACCCACUGUGUCCCCCCCAGGAUGUGAAUCACCCUUUCAUCCAGUGUAUCCAUGCUGUGGGUGCUACCUGCCCUCUCCCAUUGAGUAGCCAUUGCAUUUCCAGGUCAGCUGUCACCGAUGGUGGCACUUAUGUUUAAGUAACUACCUAAUGUUCCGGGCAGUAUCGUAACUCCUGUCAUCCCUAGUAACACAUGUCACCAUCUUCAUUGUCACAAGAACAAGGGUGAGUAUAGUACCUUAACAUAUUUUGAGACCCGCACAAAUUUGCCUGGCUUGUAUGAUAGCAUAUGGUCAUAAUCAUUCUAUUUCAUUAUUAAUUAUUGCUAUUAACUUCUCAUUGUGUCUAAUUUAUACACUAAAUUUCAUCAUAGUAUAUAUGUAAUAGGAAAAGAAAACAUAGGGUUUGGUACUACCUGUGAUUUCAUGGCAGGUCUCAGAAGGUAUCUCCACAUAUUGCACAUUAGUACAACCCCUCCAGAAAGCUGUGAGGAAACUUUGCAAAGGCUAGGAAUGGAAUCCCCAUAUGACCCAACUAUUCCACUCCUUAGUAUUUAUCCAAAAGAACUAAAAUUAGCAUACGAGAGUGAUGUAGGAGCAUCAGUGUUUAUAGCAGCACAAUUCACAAUUGCCCGGUUAUCAGAUCAGCCCAGGUCCCUAUCAACAGAUGAAUAGAUGGAGAAAAUGUGGCAUGUGUAUACAAUGGGAGUUUUAUUCAACCAUAAAGACAAACGACAUUACGGCAUUUGCUGGUAAAUGGAUGGAACUGGAGAACAUCAAGCUAAGUGAAAUAAGCCAGACUUAAAAAUCCAAGAGACCAAUGUUUUCUUCUCUGUGUUGAAGCUAGAGAACAACAAGGGCAAAUAGAAGGUGAAUCCCAUGGAAAAAGGAGGGAGAUCAGUGGAUAGAGAAAGGGGAGAGCAGGGGAUGGGGGAGUCCAGGAAAAGGGGGAAACUAUGGGGUGAAAUGGACCAAGUGAGCUAUGUGCAUAUCUGAGUGUACCACAGUACAUUCCACCUUUGUGCACAUCUAUAGAGCACCAACUGCAAAAUAAUAAACAACUGGAAGGAACCCCUAUAGAAUAGAGGGAGGGGUGAGGGGAGGGGUGAGGGGAGGGAAAGAGGAAGUACUAGGGACUGAAAUGGAGUCUAUUAUAUUUCACUCAUGUAUGAUUAUGUCAAAACAAAUCCCCAGCACUGUGUACAACUAUAAUGCACUAAUAAGAACACUGAAAUAGGAAAGUGUCCUGACAGAGGAGAUACCACUAAUGUUAUAAACCUAAAAUUAAUAUUUGCUCACCAGGCUUAAUAUUUGCUUACAGAGUGGUUCUGGAGACAGACUUCCUGGCUUCUUUACUCAGCUCUCUCGGUUUCUAGCUGUGAUGUUCGGCAAGUUAGCAAAGCUCUCUGUGCCUCAGAUUUCUCAUCUGUGAAAUGGAGAAAAAAUAUCUUUCGGUUUGCACCUCAAAUAUAGGUCUUAGCUAUCAAUAUCAUUUGUUGUAGUUGUUGACUGCUAUAUUCUGGCUGUUUAUUGAAUCCUGCCACUUGAGGUGGGUAUGAACACCACCAUCCUCAUCACAGUGAGCUUCAGGGUAAAGCAGGAUCUUUCUCUGCAUUUCAGUCUAUGUCUUCUGAUUUCUGUCUGGAGUGCAUCCUGCCAUUCUUUCUCCCGUGGUUUUCCUGGAUGAGAUAUCAACCCUGGGUUCUCACCCUAUCUUCACGUGCAGCUGAUGACAUAAUACAGUACACAUGAAGGUGUUUCAGAGCUUAUUAGGAGAUUUUGAGCAAAUUGCCGUAAGAAACUUCUACAAGUGGUUAUGUUGGUAGAAAGUAUAAUUACAGCCAUCACCAAAGCCACUUCAAUUCAUGAGGUCAUCAUGGUCCAUCACAUUUUAUUUUUUAGUAAUUUUAUGUGAGAAUUAAUUUAUUAGGUUGUUGGAGAGAAAGUGGUAUUGAGUUAAUUUCUGUUGAGCCAUCUAAUGAUAAAAUCAGAUGGUUUUUGAGAUUUAGAGAUUUUUUUUUAUUCCCAGAGCUUGCACAACCUUUAAUUGGCACUUAACCUAAUAUAGAAUGUAUCAAAAAUUAAGUAGGCAUUAAUUAGGAACACAAAAUGUGAACUAGCCUUAAAAAGUUAAUUAUCAAAUUGGUCUAGCUAUCUGUCAGCAGACUCCCAGAAGCAUCCCGUUAAAGUGGUUUCAUUUUUUUAAAUGUAAUAUGUUUCUUAGGAUGUGAUUACACAUACAAUAUAUGGUUGUAAUUUUGAGUUAAUUGCAUAGUAGCUAGAUUAACUUUUACAUCAUUACACUUUAAUCAGUGUUUUUCAUGAUUAACGUUCAUUUACAUUUAAAGCUUCCAAGUUCUUUCUUCCAUUGUCUCCGCUCCUCCUUCCCGUGCCCCUUGCUGACUUCACAGAUCACUACAUUAAAGCUCUCCGAGGACAAACUUUGGCAUUUUCUCACUUUAGGUACCAUGAAAAUGCUCAUAGGAAACUGUGAUCAUGAUAGCAUCUCUGCCACAAUGUAAUACUAAUGACUGUAAUUAUCUUAAUAUAUAGAAAAGAAAGGAUAGAUAUUAGCUGGGGAAAUCACACAGCAAAUAAAGAGAGGAGUUAAUCCUCUAUAUCAUUUUCACUUUAGUUUAAAUCCAACUCUGGCUUUCAGAGGCAAAGAAAGAUAAUUUUUUUUUCUUUCUUGCAUGUGCCUUGAACACAGCAUGGAUUACAUAAAGAUCUCUGAAAAAACAUCACAGUUUCUUAAUAGCAUAUCACAGCUAACUAAUUUGACACUGGGUUGAGAAUGAGAUCUCUCCACCAGUAAUAUUUCUGCAGCAUAUCAUCACUGAUCUCAAGCAAGCAUUAUGAAAUAUAGGGGUCAUUUUUCUUUCAAAAACUGUUAUGUUUCAUUAACACAAAAAUAUAUAAACUAGUCUUAUAAAACAUGUGUAGUGUAAACAGGUAAAAGGAAGGCUCACCUGUAUCCCGUCACCUUCAAUAUGGAGACGCUCCUCCCACCUUCCACUCUCAGACUCCGGAACAUGGUUGCUGUGUUCACCCUGCACGGCUCCGCUUUAUGGGGAGGCUUACUUUUCUUUUACCCCAGACACUGGAAUUGUUACAUUAUGCAACUGUUUGAUUACAUCUGUUUAUAUCUUCCAGCUCACUCACCAUUUUCUUUGGACUUCAUUCCUUCUUCCAUCUCAGACCACCCACAUGAAUUCAUUUCCUUCUGUCUUGAGAAAUUUCUUCAGUUAGGAUCUUUUAGUGGCAGACACUCUUGGGAUUUGUUUACCUAAACAAAUUUCUUUAUUUCCAAAAUGGUAUUCUUCUUAAAAUUCAUUUUCCCUAGGCAUAGAGUUCAUGGUUAACUAUUGUUUCCUCUUAACACACUAAACUCCCUCUCCAUUGUUUCUGAUAGCCACCGGUACUGAUGAAAAUUCAGUUGUUGGUCUACUUCUUAUUUGAAAAUAAUCUGACUUUUUUGUUGUUGGUUUCUAAGAAUUUCUCUUUGCUUUGGUCUUCUAAAAUCAAGUGGCUUUUAAAGACCUCCCAGUUUUCUGGCUGGUAGGUCUAAUAACCUGUUCCUGAAACUUGUUCUCCAGGAGUUUGAGGUGAUGGAAGUGUUAUAUGGUACCUUGAGUGGGCUAAGGGAUGCCCAUCCAGCUGAUGAACCUUCAUUUCUGAAUGUGUCUGCAAGGGUGUUUUGGAAGACCAAAACAUUUAAACUGACGGACUGAGUGACCAUCCCCAUGCCCAAAUGUGGAUGGGUACUAUCUAAUCAUUUUCAGGGCCCAGAUUUAAAAGCAAACAAACAAAUAUAGAGGACAGUAUAAUUCUCUGUCUCUUUACCUGAGCAGACACAGGAUUCUAAUAGCACCGACCCCGACACCCACCUGUCUCUACCCCACCCUUUCCUUUCUCAGGCUUUCCGACUUAACGGGGAUAAUACCAUAGUCUUCUGUUUCUUGGGCCCUGGGUCCCACUAAAUCAUUGGCAGAUUUGGGGACUUCUCAACCUCUGUGAUCAUUUGAGCCAAUCCCCCAUAAUGGAGAUAUGUACAUAGCUUACUAGGUUUGCCCCCUGGAGAACCCUAAUAGGGAAGGCCACAAGGAACAUAUGCCCCUGAUUUCUCGAACAUUAAUUGUUGUUUGUCUUAGACUAGAAGGUCAUUUUGACUUGCUAUGAAAUCCUAGCUGUCACUUUUUUUUUCUUGAAUAUCUUAAUUUGUUACUUCUUUGACAUCUAAUAUAAAGCAGGUUGACAUUAUGAUUUGUUUUAUUUAUUCAUUUUGUCUAAAUGUGUGUGUGUGUAUGUAUGUGUAUGUGUGUGUGUCUAUUUACUUUUACAUUAAAGUCUAGUCAUUUUGUGGACUAUAUGCUGUUUAUUUGGGGUCAAUUUUCCCAGAAACAUCAGUGCCUUUAAAUACAUGCUUCAGAUUAUAUUAAUGGCAGGAACAUUUUUAUGAAUCAUUUAUUUUAAUUUUAGUUUAUUUCUAUUGCUUCGUUUUUUCUUUUUCUGGACUUUCUUAUGCAUACAUUGGUAUUUUUUUCUUUUUGCUGUUUUCUAUCUUUAUCACUUCUGUAAACAUCUUUAAAAAUGUCUUUCUUCCAAUUUUGAAUUUCUUAAAGCCUUAAGCAUUGUGUUUACUGUUUAAUAAGAAAGAAUAUAAACUCUUUUAAUUUAGUAUUUAUUUUGCAAUUUUCUUCAUUAAUACAUGAUACUCUUAUGAUUUUUUAGUCUAUCACACCUCUUCCAAGUCUCCAUUUUCAAUCACUUCAGUUAUGUGUUUUAUAUAUAUAUAUACAGUGUUUAUAGUUUUUAAUUUUCAAAAUUUUUAUUCUUAAUUUCUCUUAUCUCAUUUAAAAGUAUUAGGAAAUAAUUUUCUAGGCAUAUUAUUCCCUGUUAAGUAAUUUAGAGGCAUAAUAUUCUGUAUACUUUAUUAUCUUAUAUAAACUUUUUUACUGAAUUUGAUUAUAAUCUUUCCUGAGUGCCUUUUUUUUCCUCUUUGUUUUUAAAAUAAAUGAUUUGUUUGUCCUUUUAGGAGGGAAUAGUGAACCAAGAGGAAUUUUAACUUUACUACAUAUAAUUCCCUCUUUUGUUGCUUUAAAAGUGAAUGAAAUACGUCUGAACACUUCUGAUCACUGUCCAGCUUCUUCUCUUUCACCAUAGUAACCUGGGGCGCAUUCUGGUGCACAAUUGUUUUGGUAAACUAUGUUUUAUGGAGAGGCACUCUCAGCAGGUGGCCAUGGAGACACACCCUUAGCUGGUGACUGUGGAGAGGUACCCUCAGAAGAUGGCUAUGGAGAAGUAUUCUCAAGGUAACUACCUUCUAGGUGGCUAUUGAAAGGCACUAUCAGCAGGUGGCUACAGAGAGGUAUCCCUCAUCAGGUGGCCACGGGGAUGCACCCUCAGGGUGGCUAUGGAGAGGCACCCUCAAGGUGACUAAAGACAGGCUCCCUCAGCAGGUAGCUACGGGGAGGCACCCUAGCUGAUGGCUAUGACCCUCAGCCCGUCACCAUGGAAUGCACCCUCAAGGUGACAUGGAGUGGCACUCUCAGCAGAUGGUUUCCCUGUCGCCUUUGGCUACCUUUAUGCUGCAUGUGCAGAGGUGAGACGUUGUGAGGACACUGUGUGACGGGAACAGCCUGAAAUUGUUCUUCUGUGGUCUUCACAGGAAAGACGGCACCUCAGCCUUGUUCAUCUCCUUGUCCCUGUUGUCCUUGCCCUUCUCAAAUUCGGUCAAAUUGCUACGAGUGAGUUCCCCAUGGUCUGCACCAGAAGCAUGUUAGAGCCUUGCUGGGCGCAGCCUGCUCCAGCCCUGGCCCUGUCCUGCAGUCCCUUUAACUCCACCCCUCAGGUGGAUCCUGCGAAUUCCCUGCUACUGAGCUUCUGUUCCCCAGUGGAUGUACUUCUUCCUUCCUCCAGUGCUGCACCUUCAACAUCGCUCCACCUAUAAUUCCUCACCCUGCAAAUAGCAUUUCAGCUCCCAUUUCUCAUUCUUCUCCAGAUCUUCAAUUGUUUUUACAAGGUAAAUGAGUAUGUUUCCAUUCAUAUGUUGAUUUUAAAAUAGCAAUCUAAAUAAAACACAGGUGCAUAAUGGUAUACAUAUAUAGAUGUUUGCUGUGGGUUAAGCUACCAAAAAUUAGAAAAGAAGUAAGUACACAUCAUCAAGAGGAGAAUUUUAAGUAAAAUAUUGAAGCAUCGAAUAUCAUGAAAUGGUAGGUAACAAAGAGAGGAAACCGGAGCAAACUGAAAAACUUACUGUAAAAUGAAGAAACAUGGCGCGACAACACAUGUUCCAUGAUCUUCUUUACAUAUGCAAUGAUACACGUAUACAUACAUGAACACAGAAAAGGCGUGAAGUUGCAUCCUGCACUAUUGACAGGGGAUCUCUGCUGAGAAAGUUGAGUGUGGCCAGUGAGAAAGCCACCUGUCCCGUUGGUUUAACGUGGCUCUCUCUGGGUCGAAUCUUUCACAGCAAUAAUUUAUUCAUGUGUUACUUGCAUGAAACACAAUCAAUACAAAACACGAUGGAGCCUUUUAAGGAGAUGAGCUGUGAAGAGUGAGCUUGGGAUAUCGAGGGAGCUGACUCUCCAGAGGGAACUGAGAAAUGAUGAGAAAUGAUGUCAAGUUGAAAGUGUUUUGAAAAGAAUACAAAGAACAGAGGAAGAGCUGAAGACUGCUAAUGGCCCUGGUUCUAAAAUCUGUCCUAGGUUAUUCGGAAACCUACACCAGCACAGUUAUGCAUCCCACAAACAUUGUUUGUUUAUAGUUUAGCUUAAUGCCUGAAAUGUGUAAAGAAAGUGAGAAAGAGCCUAAAUCGCUAUUUUUUUAAAUUUAAAUCUGAAGGAAGCCAUGUGUAAGAGAAAAAAAGAAAUGAACCUCUUUAACAGUUUGAAAACAAAAAUCUGCAUAUUUUAAUAUUCAGAACUUCACCGAUCAAUUCCCCCAUGUUAUUACUUUGAGAAGAAAAUAUAUGUGUUUUCAAAUUGUUACUUUACUGUUACCUUCUUACUAUGAAUUUUUAAAAACAAAUUGACCAUUCAAAUUAUCCAGAACUUUGACAAGCCAAAGCUGUGAUUUUAAUUCAUGCUUCAAAAUCUUAAUCAUCUUGAAAGUGGGAAAAAAAAAGUGUGUGUAAAAAUAGAUAUUGUAAUAGAGGCUGCCUGGAAUAAAGACAUUCAGACAGUUUCAAUUAGACUGUACUCUUUCAAAAGAUGUCUCAUUUGUAUACCUGAAGCAAAUUGUAGUCUGUCUGAUGAAAGGUGUUGUAAGGAGUGCACAGAUUAUUUGAGGUGAAGCUGCUGGAGGUGAGCCAACGGGCGUCUGCCCUGUUGGGGGAAAUAAGUGCGUGGGUCUUUGUCUCCAGAAGGACUCUGGGAGUUGAGCAAAUCUUCUAAAGACACUGAGCACCUGCAACCUGCAGCAUUCGUUAAUAACUUCUGUGGAAGUCCUCCUCACUUGAAGAGUCUGUCCUGUGAACAUUGAAAUGGGGCCAUUAAACACAAGUCAGAGAGAGAUGGUCAACAGCAGAGAAAAUCAGGUACGCCAUUGCAAAUAUGCCCUGCCUGCCCUUCGCCUUCCUAAAGCAAACUGCAGAAAGGUUUGUUUUUAUUUUCUCUCAGUAAAACAAAGUCGACAAUCCUAAAUGCUCACAGGCCUCCUUUAUCUAAGUAAUAGAUUUUAAAUAUUUCUGAAUAUUUCUAGAACUUCAGUCUUUGUGUGAAGGAAUGUUAAUGAAGUUACAUUUUAUUCAAUUUCAAUUCUCUUGAGAUUUAUUUUGUCUUCAAAAAAAAAAAACCUAAUACAUACUUAUGCUAUGCAUAUCCCCAAAUAUUUCAAAUAUUUAACCUAGAAUUGUUUUCUGUCGUGUUCCUCGCGACAAAAGCACUCAGGGUCACUCCAGGGGAACUGGGCUGCACAAAAUAACCACACAAGAGACAGAGAUACCUUUUUCUUUGAGGGUCCUGUGAUGGCUCCUCUGACCUUAAGGGUCUGCAGAAAGAGAUGCUGAACCCUUUUAUUGAGGUAAAGCCAUUCACAUGAGGCAAGGGGCCAGGUUCAGCAGGUUGACUGACAUCUAGGAAGGCCACACCCAAAGGCAGAGCAAGAGAAGGGGACACACAAAGGGCGUUUCCAUGGAACAUUCUAUCCCCAAAAGGGCAAAGGGGUAACAUCACAAAGGAACAGGUGAGAGCAAUUCAACCCAUGGAGCUUCAGGAAGGCUCACCUACGUCUGAAGACACAUUUUGCUACUUCGAGAAUCGCGGCAAUCAAUAUCCAGGCCACCAGGAAAGUGACCCACAGAACCUCUUGAGAUGAUGGGAGGGAAAAUGCCAGUCAUUCAUCGAGACCGCCUCCCAUAGGUUUCAUUCUUUGAGACGAAAUUACAGUUAAUCUUCCUUCUUUCUUUACAGUUACUCCAAAUAUUUGCACACAUCACUUAUGACUUUCCUAGCCAGCAAAAAAAAAAAAAAAAAAAAAAAGGGAGUAAAUAGCAGUUAUUUUUUAUAAAAAAGAAAAAAAAACAGUACCUUUUAAAAGUAUGACUUUAGACAUUUUGACAAUUGAAAGGAAGGCUCUCUUGCCCAUUAUGAAUCUAUGGCUCCUUGUGCCCAGUGUUAGGGUAAAACGUUUCUGCAGUAAUGUGUGAAUUGCAACCAUUGAUGGUACUUUUGUACCUUAAGAAGUUCCCCAUAUUUGUGAUAUGCCUGGAUUCGUCCUAUUCUGGGAAUUUUCUUCUCUGGGAGAUAUGCCUCCACCACGACCAAAUUCUGAGGUUGAAAUCCUUACCUUCAUAUGUUUGGAAGUAAGAGCUUUGGGUGGUAAUUAGGGUUCGAGGACUCAUGAGGGUGGGACCUUUGGGUGGCAGAAGGCCCUGAUGAGAGGAGGAGGAGACAGGAGAGCCCUCCAUUCCCAUGCGAGAUACAAGGAGAAGAUGUGUCUACACUAGGAGGAGGGUACUUGGCAAGCACUCAGUCAGCAGAAACCUUGAGCUUGGACUUCUCAGCUACCAGAAGGGUGAGAAACAAGCACUUGUUGUCUAAGUCACCCAGCCUGUGUGACUUUUUAUAGCUGUCCUAAGAGGCACGUAGCCCCUUCCCAACCCUUUAACACAUACCAAUUUCCCUUUGCUCCCAAAGCAUCAGCCACAGAUACAAUUUGGCAUGAUUUGUGAUCGGGCUUGACUUCAAGCCAUAAGCCUUAUAGCGUGGCGUUAUGAUUCGGACAUGAGGUGAAUCACAAAGACACCUGUGAAUGCAAGAAUAUUCACAAGUGGAAAUGAUCAGAUGACAAGCACUAUGAUCUGAUCAGCCCAUCCUAGUUUCAAAAAAACCAACUGGGUGGUGGGCAUGGCUGGAGGAGGAGGGUCACUGGCUGUAUGCCCUGGAAGGGUGCGUUUCCCUGUGGCUUUCCCCCCAACCCCUCUCUCUGCUCCCCAGCUGCCGUGAGGGUAGCAGAUUCCCUCUGCUGGGCCUUCCCAGGAUAUGCUGCCUCUUCUUGGGCCCAGAAUCGGCUGUCUAUGGACUGACACUUCUGACCUUGAGCCCCAAAUCCUCUCCUCUAAGUUGUUUUGUUGGGCAUGCUGCUCACAAAGGCAGAAAUCUGACUAAAACAUCUGGUAAUCAAUAUAUUAUCAAAGAACCUCACAUAAAGUCUUUCACACCAGAUACCAAAUAUCUGGAUAAUUUUGUGGGUUAAAGAAGGAAUAUUUAAUCAUGACCCAAAAGAAAUCGGUUCUUCCUGUGAUUAUUUUUUUUCAUAGCUGGUUAUGGGAUCCUUGGCAAAGCACUGACCCCCAAUUACCCUGUGUGUGUGGGGGGGAGGCGUAGAAGAUGGCUUUAAAUUCUAAGUAAAAUUUCUCCCAGCUUCAUGAUUCCUUGUUUUUCCAUGUUAAAAAAAAUCAGUGGGAAAACUGAAGCAGGAGCAGAGGGUUAAAAUUAAAUUUGUGACUGUUGGAAAAAAAGGAUCGCAGCUUCCAUGCUUGAGAUGAAUGGUGAGAGGACCAUCCCCAACCACAUCCAGUGUCUAAGACAAACAAGGACAAGGCAUGGAGCCCAGGCAGCAGGCCUGAGCACAGUCACUGGCUGAAGUAACCGAGACAUCAUUUAAACGAUCUUACAUUCUAAAAGGCACAGCCAGGGUGGAGACCACACCCGGCUAUAGACACAGAUUUGACCAUAUGCAAAUUGGCUCAGGCACAAGGAGAGAUUUCAGUGACUUUGGGAUAGACCUAGGGCAGUACACGUCAUUUCCCACUGGGUCACAUUAUUAUUUAAUUUCUGGAUUGGUAAACAAACAAAGACUCUACACAGGGUGAUUUAUUCCUUUUGAUUCCAACCAGGUAAUAUAGAUAACUUAAUGAAAUAUUUCUCACAGAGAAUAGGCUGUGAAUUGUACCUACCUUCCUAACUACCACUGAGCUAGAAAGAUUACAUACUUUUACUACAUUUGAAUUGAAAACCUUUAUGCUGUAGUUUUUUCUGAUGUCACUUAUGUUUAUUCGUUGGUUGGUACCAGGAUUCAAUCCAGGGGAGCUAUUUUCUUUUGAGGCAGGGUCUUGCUAAGUUGCUUAGGGCCUGGCUAAGUUGCUGAUGCUGGCUUUGAACUUGUGAUCCUCCUGUUUCAGUCUGUUGAACCACUAGGGUUACAGGUGUGUGAUACCAUAUCUGGCUCGCUUAUUUUUUUUUUUAAUUUGUUCUUUUUAACUAUCUGUGACAGUAGACUGUAUUUUUUACAUAUUUAUUGUAGUUAAAGAUGGACACAAUAUCUUUAUUUAAUUAUUUUUAUGUGGUGCUGAGGAUCAAACUCAGUGCCUCACAUGUGCUAGACAAGCGCUCUUCCACUGACCACAACUCCAGCCCAUGAGAGUGCGUUUUGACAUAUUAUACAUACAUGGCUGGUUGCUCACAACCUUACUGGCCAAAGUUGGGAGAGAAAAAGAUGAUCUCAAGAAUUAGAAUUUCCUUAAAACUUGAGUAUUCUUUCUAACAGUGUCCAUAGGGUCAAGUUUUUAUUAGAAAAUGUGUUAAGAUUGCAUAUCAUGGACUUAAAUACUCAAGGUCAAAAAAAAGAAUUAUGCUUUACCUGUACAGCACCCAGGGGCCAUCUCCUCACAAUGUGAGAUUCUCAGCAUGACAGAGAAAGCUACACCAACGGAGGGUGGCUCUGUUGUAUGUACUGUUCCCUGAUCACAGUGAAAUAGUGCUCUCUUUGAGCCUUGACUUAGGAAUUAUAUUCCUGAUUUAUUUCAGUGUUUUGUGUUCAACAGAUGUAACACCUAAACCCGUGGGGUUGCUACACAUCCUAGGGUUAGAAGGAAUAUAGGACAUGAUUCCUAUAAAAAAGGCAUAUAUGUAAGUGGCUGCCUGAGAUACAAACAUGGCCAUGACAGUGGCUGCGGUAAGUGCCACAGAUUAGCCCAAGGGAUGCCACAGUCUGAUGAGGAUGGGGGCUUGACCUUGAGAUAAGGGUCCAUUGGCAUAUGUCAGUACUAGAACAGGGUUCAAACGUCCCAUGAAUAAAGUGUGAGGUCAGCCUACAGUAGUGUUUGCCUAAAAUAUAGUUUUGGGACUUAAUGGAGAUUAUGUUGCAAAUACAGGUAGAGUCCGAUUUGUGAAAAAAUUAGUUUCAACCUAAGGUUUUUCAAUCAGUUCCAAGAACAAUGGAAGAACACUCAGUAGUUGGUUUUCAGGUGAAAAUAUCAGUGUGGUACUCUACGAGAAGCUGGAUGGAGAGAAAAUAAAGUUCUUCAUUUUAGUGUUAUUGAUACAGCUGAUUUUAGGAAUAGGUUGGAAAUGUCAGAUUUUACUAUAAGACUGCAAAUCUCAGUUUUUAAUCAAUUUUAAAUAAUCUCUGCCAACAGAAUUACUCCUUUGAGGUUGAGAUACCCUGUAUUAUAUUCUUAUUUAUUUAUUCUUAUUCUCUAAUAGAGCUGAGUUGGUACAUUGCAAAAUGCUGACUUAAAAUUCAGACUGGGCAUCUUGCCCACACUGAUCCAGAGAGAACCAGCACCAAACCCUCCAGGGAGUGGCCAGGUACCAGCCCUGCCAUCUGACCACUAGUGGGCAGACAUGGCCCUUGGCUCGGGGGAAACUUCUAUCACAGAGGGGAAUCAGGGUCAACAACUUCGGGGGGACAGUUCCUUUUAGUGCCUAAUCCAACUGGCUGACUUCAGGAUAUGAGUGUAGAUUUACUGCCCCUGCCCCUGAGCUCCGACCACCACCUUCAUGGGAAGGUGAUUCCGCCUGGUAAUUAACUGUGAAAUAUUGAGUGGCCAGUGCGUGACCCGAGUGUUUGUGCCAAGCAAAAGUUUCACUUGCAUUUUUUUUCUUUCUUCUUUCUCUCUUUCACUGCCAGUUUGUGUGUGUGUUUUUAAGUAUUAACUCUCAUGGAAGCACAUGCUUAUUUAAAAUUCCCAGACGAUGAGUCAGACCUGCUCAGUGAGGUUCCUGGAGAGUCACAUGAUGUGCUUUGAUGAAACUUCACCUUAUGAAAGGUUGGAGGAAAAAGUCAGAAGAGUUUCAGUCUUAUAUACACACACACACACAUGUACAUAUAUGCACGCCCACCUAUGUCCCUGUGGGCAUGUCCUUCUAUGUAAUGGUAUAAUUUUGCAUAUGUUUAUACACAAGAGUUGGGAGAGACAGACAUGCAUACAGGCAAAGAACCCCUUUGCUUUUUGUUCCUUCUCCUGUCCCUCUGUAGAUAUUUAAAAAUCAGGGAGCCAACAGUUCCUACCUCUUUGAAGCUAGAAGGAAGCAGAAUCCCUGUAGUGGUCUGUGCUGCUCUUCGCCUGUUGUGGGUAUAUAUGCCUUGGACUCAGAAAAGUGAGACAGGAGAUCUAGACUGCAAAGUGCUAAAGACCUGGCAUUGCUGAGACAGGGCUCGCAAGUUGUUUUACUAACUGUUCUGAUUAUUUGCUUCAGGUGUGUCUAGGCCUCCAAAAACUCUGUAUUUUAAUUGACUCUUUUCUUCAAAUCACUUCAAUUUGAUACUUUGUGGUAUAACUGACAGAGCUCCUUCAUUUAAGCAACAAAGCAGGCUACCUCCUGUGAGUGCAUCUAAAUCACAGUGAUGUUUGAAGCUCUCCCAACACAUUUUUUAUAUGUAAUUUCCCUUAAGUGAAACUUGUUCUAGAAGUGACAUAUGAAGUACCCUACAGAGAUCCUGUCUGGUGAUGUGUAUGUACAGAGGGCAAAGAGGCAGAUCAUCUCAGAAGGGAAAAAUUGUCUUCCCAAGACCGAGGGUGCCAGCCGCAUGUGCGGAGUGACUUGACAUCUGAAGACACGGCUGACUCCAUUGGCUGCAUCCAUCCAUUCAGUUCACGAACAGUUACAGAGAAGUUGCUGUGUGCUCCCCAGAGCUGAAUGCUGCAGAUUCCAGAAAACUCUACAGCAGUCCUCUCGCCAGUGCUCCAGUGUACAACUGCUGAGGGUUGCGUAAACAAAUAGCUGUGAUUCAGGAGGGAAAGCACAGGGAUAACUAACUUUGUAACUUUGCCUAACAGAAUCUGGUAAGGCGUCACCAAGGAGGUGAUGCCUGAUCCAGAUCCUUACAGACAAGUAGGAAACGACUUGCUGAAAAUAUUAGUAAAGCAGAGGGGAAAAUGCCUUGAGUGUUGGAGAGGGAGGACUGAAAGAGAAGGGCCUAUUAAAGAUAUCAUCUAGCAGAAGCGAGAACUGCUGGUACUGGGAGGUUUGAAGGUGCCAUUCUUUUACUCUCCUAUUACUCCCCUAUUAUGAAGCAAAAUACAUUCCAGGGGAGGGUGUACAACCAGGAGUGGGAAAGCCCCUAUAAUGCAGGCUCUCAUGUCCAUAAAUUGGCUCACUUCCUCUUUCACUCAUUCUGACUCUCUUUUCUCUUCUCGUGCUCAGCCUCCCUCAUCUGUAGACCUCUGCAGAGUGGUAUCCUUUGUACUUAGACACCGGGCUUCACAUGCCACCCUUUCGACCAACAGUGCCCACUCACUAGGAUUGCUGCAGCAGAAUCCCAGAAUCCCUGGAGGAGAGAAUCUUCUUUGCCCCCUGAUCCCACAUGCUGCAGUCAGGAGUGGAGUCCUUGAAUAGGAAGGGCAUUUUCAGGACAGGCAUGCUGUGGUUGAGCACCCAGAGUCAUGUGUGACGAUUUUACUUUGAAAGUACCAACUGGAAAUGAAGCUGGCAGCAGGACACUGGAACCUUUUGCACAAUGCUAGCCUAAAUGUACUGAGGUUGUUUUCUAUGAAUUUUUUCUCUUUAUAAGUAGUCCUUGCAUGCUUACACACACACACACACACACACACACACACACAUCAUGUAUGGUUCUCUAGGCUUCUAGGAAGGUGGGUUUCUCCAAAAACAGAAGGGUGGAGGGAUUAUUCCAGGAUUAAGUGUGAUCUGAAGGCAUUUGCAAUUGGAAAUAAUUCCUUUGGAAGUUCUUUUGAUAUUGUAGUCUGCAUGUCCGUUCCAGGAGAUCUAUGUGCUGUGUGUGUAGGUGGAGUCUGCAGCCUGGAAUUCCUUCCAAAUUUUCUACCCUAGAAAGAUAAUGGGGUUGGUAGCGUAAGUUCCUCUGCUUGGUUUUGUGCCUUUGUUAAUUUGCCAAUCAAAGUGUCUAGGAGGCUGUGGAAAUUGUUAAGAAAAUCUUUGUUCCAGCAUUUCUAUAGACCUGUUAGCAUCUGGACUUAAAAAUUAAUAAUUUAGUGUCACAUCAGAAGUCAUGUCACUCAAGCUUGUAUUUAUGGAGGUGACUCUCACUCCUUUGAUACAUUUUCAUGUAUCAGUGGUUCAUUGCUUGCCAGGGCCUCUUCUGAUUGGUAGCUGGCUCUUCUCCAAGAUUGUAGAAGCGAACCUAUUCUGGCUGGUAGUCUACCAUGUUCACAACCGCUUCCUCUUCCUCUCUGCAUAAGAGACAUGGUAACACAGCAUUAUUCAGGAAAGUUCAUGAGCUCCAGACUUAGAGAUGGCACAAAACACUUCCAGCCACAUGAAUUCACUGGCUAGAUGUCACUCAUGGGACUGCAUGAUCACUAGUAUGGCUGCGUUUGGCCCAAGAAGAAGAGGAAAUGAGUGCGGUAAAAGUCCAGCUGGUCUCGUCCAUGAAGUUCUUGGUUGGCUUUCAUACUGUUGAUUUCGCUGAGCAUAAUAAGGCAAAAAAGUGUAACUUUUUCAAUAUUAAGCUGACUUGAAAUUGAAAAUCCCUUAGCAAAUUUCAAAUUCAGUUUGAAUUCAAUUCAAAUUCAGUGUAAAUUUCUAAAACAUAGUGUCCCUUAUGCCAUACUGUAAUUUACAACAUGAGUAGGCAUUAAGUAGCUGAAAACAUACUCACUUCACAAACACCCAGACACUCAUGCAUUAUUUUGAUAUUGAAUUGCGAGACAGUUUCCAACCUCUUAGGUUGAGUACAGAUCUCCAAAAGAGAGAAACAGAAGUGGAGUAUGUGUGAGAAGAGACUCUAUGAUUUUCUUACCAAAGUUGGUGUUUUAAACAAAAAUCUGGAAUGAUACUAGAAAUUGACAAUAAAAUAUUUCAUUAUUGAAUAAAACUAUAAAAUCACCUUGCUCAUGAGUUUAUCUGUCAUUGUAUAGAUUAUUCCACAUAUGUAGAACUCAAAUUUAUAAUAGAUAUAUUCUUAUAUAUUUUAUAUCAUUUCACGACAAAUUGAAUAUUGUUCCGAAUUGUUCAGGGCAAUUAAACCUCUAUUUGUUUAGGCUGUUAGUUUCCAUUGGUUGUACUUGUUUCUUAUAUUUGUAGGAAAUUAUGGUGAAGAAUUAAUUUGGUCAGUUGGGGAAAGAGGGAGUACAAAACUAUGUAUUUCUUUUUAUUAGGUCCAGUCCCCUGGAUUUAUAACUACACCCCUCAUUACGACUCUAGAGGAAGAAUGAAUUAUGGUUUGAAUCCUAGAGAAAGUUGUCAGAUGAAAUCUGGGAACACCCAAGGAAUAACGCAAUACCACAGAGUUAACAUGAUUGAUGAUAUCAUAGCUCAUUUUUAACAGAUGUCAAAAGAAGAAAAAUCAAGCUGUCAUUCCACAUACUGAGCCCUUGUUCACUUAACAGAAGACCUUUAUAAGUAAAUCAAAAUUAAUGGUAAGUACUCAGUGGGUUAGAUGCUGAGCAUUUGGGUGACUUUUAGAUGUUGGAAAAAAAAAACAUAUGAGAAAAAGCAGAAUUUCUAGAAGAGAUGCUUAAAUAUUCCUUUUUUUUUCUAUAUCUAAUCAUAAUGUUUCAUUUGGCUUUGGUGAGUGGAUUCUAGUUAGGAAAAGGUUCUUUUUAGGAACUCAACCACAUAUGUAGAACUCAAAAUAUCACACAUGCCUCCAGUCCUCAAGCUAGCUCUACUGUCACUGCCAGCUGAAAUCCCUCUCCCAGUUGGGUGCUAGCUGGGGGAGAGGGUGGGUUAUACUUCUUGAUGGUGUAUGCAAGUGCACAUAAUUUGGAGAAAGUAAGGGGGAAAUCAUUAUGUCCUAAUUUGGUUAAAGAAGAUCAGCAAUGUCUUUGCUGGAUCCAACAUUUGUACUGAGCCCGAUUCCUACGUUUUCUCCACAUAUCCCAGUGUUGUUGACCCAUCUCCAGAAAAAAAGGCAGCUGACUGGGUGUAGAAUUGUCUAUGAGAUGCGUUCAGGAGCACCCGUACCACCCCUCUCCUGCGUAGGUCUUUGCAUCGCUCUUGGAGAAAUGGAUGAGCCUGGUGUACACUCUGAUUCCUACUCCAGUGUGGUCCUGGAAAAGUCAGUUGUCCCACAUUAGGGCAGACACUGCUUCCCUCUUAAUCCAGCAUCUGGGGAUUCCACACGCAUGACGCAGAAUCUCCUCCCUAGCCUGAUGCUGCUAGAUGAACCCCCAGGCCCGCAUGGUUUGGGUAGGCUAUAUUUGCCAGCCUGAGUGGAGACCUCCCGUUUUAAUUCAAAAUUAAAAACUCAGAAAUCUUGUUCUUAUUAAACACUCUUAAUCACAUAUGAGCACACACUCAUAUACACAUAUUAUGUACACCUGCCCAGAAAGAACAUAUUUUAGUUUUCUUUGGAACACCAGCAAAAUACAUAGUACCCCUUGCAGAGAAUGUUAAUUUAGAUGAACAAUGCAGAACAAAAGCACUUUAGGCAUGAUGUCUCAUUUUUAAGUUGAAAAUAGCAUACUAGAAUUAAAUUUUGAAAAAUUCACUCAGUGUUGUCAAAAAUGCUAAUUUGAGUGCAUUUAUAUUUUUAACUGUAUUUUUUAUAGUUGGGUAGCAGGGAUGGGCAAAGUUUUCUAGAAAGGGCCAGUAAAUAUUUUAGACUUGGCAGGUGGUAGGUGUUGCCCUGAGAAAAUAGCUACGGAUAAAUAACCACAGAUAAAUACAUCUGUAAACAAGCCUGGCCGUGUGCCAGCAGUCCUGUAUACUAAAUCAAGCUACAGGUGGGAUGUGGUCUGUGGUGAUAGUGGCUCCAGCUCUUGUUGUAGCAACCCUCAUGGCAGAGACUCCCAGGAAUUCUUCUCAAAUGAUUCCUAAUUGUGGCUUUUCAUCUGAAAUAUAGACUAAACUAUUGUUUUCUCCCCCUUUGUUAUGAAAGAUGCAACCUGCCUACUGGAGGGAACAGACCCCGAUUGCAAGCCUGUCAUCUCCAGGGUCUCGUCCUAGACAGGAAGGGCCUGUAGAAACUGGGAGAUGAGUUCAUCCCUCAACUGACGGCCAAAGAAUUUGAAGCAAGAACACAGAGUCUUGGUUCCACAAAACGCUGUACUUAAAAGGACACUGCUGAGCGCUUCCUGUUCAGUACUGCUGGGGACAGCCUUGAAAAUAAUGACCUACUUUCCCUCAGCAAAGCCAACUCUGAGAGAGGAUGAUGUCUACAAAUGAGGGCUCAUAAAAGAAUAUAAUUAAACACUGGUGCGCCUCAGAGUGAGAGAACUUUGAGAUAAUGACUACAGUGGCACGCACUGUACCACAGAGAACAAGAUGUCACAAUUGUAUAUUUGCAGGUUGAUUUAAUCUGACAGGAUUCUUAGCGACAGUGAACGUGGUCUGUCUGAGCCGAGCGGCGCAGCUGGUGUGUCCGACCAAUGCGGCUCUGUUUAUCUUUGUGAACUUACACGUGUCAAUUAGCAAACUUCUUAAUCUGGCUGCACGUGCUUAUCUUUGGAGGUCCCCUGUAGAUCUUCCUUGUCUGAGGCACAGAGUGUGUAAAUCAUCCCUUUCAUUUAAAUAGAGUCUUUUUUAAAAUUCUCUGUAUGACUUUAUUUUCCUGAUUUGAUUUUUGAAUGAUAGUCUCUUAUCCUAUCUUCACAAGAAUACCUCAUAGACACUAGUAGGUUUGGGUCCCCCUUACAGGAAAUCCAUGAGAGGGGAGAACAGACUAAAGUAGGAGUGAAAACCAUGGCCCUUGGACCAUAUCCAGUCCACCACCUAUUUCUGUGUGGGCCAUGAUUUUCAUAAAUACUUGAAAAACUAUCAAAAGAAGAUUUUU
rnacentral:lncRNA from 1 species